UGGGUUAUCAUCCCCCGUUUCAAUAAACCGCUUUCUAUAUUGUAGAACAGUACCCAUUUCAAUGAACUGAAAUUUCACAAAUACUAGGCACUCAUUAAUCACAAUACCAAAUUUAAUAUGACCACAGUCCCAGAAACAUUAUAGGUACUCAUACAUAGUCAACAUGCAUGGAUAGAUCUCAUAUGGCGAACUAAUAAUAGUUGAUAAGCAGUCUACUAGGUAGUCAUAUAGUAGCAUAUAUAUGGUUCAAUAGCCACACACACAUAUAUAGUUCUAGAUGAUAUCGAUGACGAUCAUCAUCCUCAAGCCUUGGCGGUGGGUGUUCCUGAUAGUAAUUAGGAUGGCCUGUCCAAAAUGAAGAUUCUUACCAACGAGAAAGCUCUUCCACCCAACCGAGCUGAAGUGUGUGCGACCGUCUGUGUCCAUGUCAUACACACAGGUGGUGAUGGAGCCCCUUGCGGUAAGGCAUAUUCCAGCAGAGCCUUCUUCAUCAGGCUCGAUACCACAACUCACAGAUAGGCUCUUUGGCAAUUUAUGAUUAAGAAAAACAUAUCAAUUAAUAAGUAGCCUCGCACAUACUCUUGCAAAUAUAUUUAUACUAAGUAUAGAUUUCUACACUAUCAAAAGACAAUACUACAUUUCUACAAACAUGAAUUCUACUAAUAAGUAUGGACUCUACACUAUUAACAGUUUCUUGGAUUCUACACUAGCAUAUAUAUCAUUGGACUCUAGCUACACUAAAGCAUAUCAUCGAUUGGAUUAUACAUUAAGCAUAUAUAUCAUUGGACUCUAGCUACACACUAAAGCAUAUCAUUGAUCAGACAGUAAGCAUGUAAUUGGACUCUACACUAAUUAAGCAUGUCAUCGAACUCUACACUAAAGCAUAUCAUUGGCUAACUUCUACACAACAUAUCAUUGGACUCUACGCUAAGCAUAUCAUCAGAUUCACUAAGUAUAUCAUUGGAUUCUACACUAUGCAUAUCUCCUCGGAUGCUACAUACAGAUAAUUUGCAAUUGUAAGUAUAACAAUAAAGCAUGGGGACAAUUCCAUUUCUGCCCCUAACUGGAACCCACUACUCAAAUUUGCCCCUAAUUUCAAUGUGUGCUCAAAUUUGCCCCUCUGCCGUUAGUUGCCCUUAUAGAAAUGCCCUUCUGCGACGUUAUCGUCCGGUCAAACAACUUUGACCAUCUCGAAAAAAUAGUAAAAAAAUCAAAAAAAUUUGAAAUUUUGUGGGAUUGAAGCUACCCAUGUGCGCAAGGUGCGUGCAAAUUUUCGUGCUAUUUAGACAUACCAGGAGCUCGUGGCAAAGGAAAACAAUAAAUCUGUACAUCUUUGAAUAGUAAAUUCAAAAAAAAUAGCAAGAAAAUAUGGACACGUUCCCUCUCGAUACCCAGAGACCCUCUCGAUACCCAGAGACUAGCUCGGAGACGGUGCGGUUUACAAGCGGCCUCAGGGGAAAUUAAUAGUUGAAUUAAUAAAAAACGCCGCCAUCCACCAUUAAGAAGAUGAUCUAUCACAUUGAAUCUUCUCUGCCCGAAACGGGUGAACAUUCAUACUGAUAGUUCAUCUCCUUAAUAAGAGUGUAAUGAAUACCGAAUCUUACUGCAUCUGAACUAUCCCACUAUUUAAACAUGUUAUGUUGCUUGUCUCUAGGUGAGGUGGGACUAAACUUUGAUGGUAGCCUUAUCUUUACCGAGAGCUACUCUCGGCAACUGUUCCUUUACCGAGAGGAGCUCUCGGUACAGAUACUGUUGGAUCAUAAAAUUAAUACAUAUUCAUAAUUGUAUAUCACCGAGGUACCUUCGCCUAAUUAAAUAGGUCAUGUUGCUACAUCUGGACUAUCCGACUAUUUAAAGAGGUCAUGUUGCUUGUCUUUACUAAGAGCUCCUCUUGGUAACUCUUACUCUGCAGAGAGUUGCUCUCGGUAAAGGUGUGCUUUGAUCAUAAAGUUAUGAAAAACACCAACAUCCAUUCUUUAGAAUACAGACUAUCAAUAUGAAUUUUCUUUGUCCGGAACAUGAAGAUUCAUAGUGAUAAUACGUAUUCUUAUUAAUGAGGACUGAUGCUUAAUGCGAUUGGACUAUUGAACUAUUUAAACAGGUCUUUAUGCUUGUCGGUAGGCGAGGUGGGACUAAAUCUUUGCCGAGAGCCACUCUCGGCAAAGAGUUGCAACCAUGAACGUGCCGUUAUUCGCCGCCGGAUGUGCCACGUGGCAAAACUUUGCCGUGUGGUGGCCACUUAGCCCUCGGCAAAUAGUUCCUUUGCCGAGGGUUGCCUUUUUGCCGAGGCCUACUCUCGGCAUUAACAUGUGUUUGCCAAGAUGCUCCCUUUGCUGAGAGUCACACUCGGCGUCUCUUACUUUGCCGAGUGUCCGUGGUUUGGCUCUCAGCGAAGACCCUGACACCCGGCGUAUACGAAUUUUUCAGUAGUGCAUGAACAAUCCAUUCCUAUAAGAGACCCAUUUCUUAUAAAGACAACAACAAUUUCAUAUUGAGAUCAUGUGUGCGGUGAUAAAUCUGCAUACAAUGGCACAUAUGGGAGACGUGGCCAAAAGAUUAGCAUACCAAGGCGCAUAUGGCAGACCACUUUGACUUGUGGAUGAUCCAUAUCGUAUCGUAGCACAUUAAUGUGGAAGCUGACCUCACAGUGAAGAUCAAGUUACAUUCCGGAUGAAAUGCAAUCCUAUGGGAAUCAACCGGAUGGAUAGCAAACUGAUCGGAAUCAGUAACAUUUGUCCCUCCAAAUAAGUAUGAAAUUUCAGCACUAUGCUUCAAUAUCCAUUCUUUGCUGUCAUAGUCCUUGAGAACAUAGACAACUAGUCGAACCACAUCACAAUGGUGGUUUUUCUCAAAAUUGGCAUAAUGCAGGCGACCCUAUGACUGCUGAAUAAAACCAUCAUAUAGAUGACCAGGGAUACCGAUAUUCGCUCAUGUUUCCCCCUCCAUGUCCUCCACACCUAGACAAUGAGAUGACCUUUUGCCAUAGGCUUGAAAAUGCAACCAGCCGUUGAGGAAGACAUCAGCCGACCAAGGAGUAAGAAGCUCCAUAUUUUCACCCCAUCUGUCUUCCUUAUGAUCCCAUCUCCUGGUUUCUAACGAAUACACCUCCGCUCUACCAAGGUAGAAAUUAAAGUCAACAUCCUCUAGCAACACAAACACAUACUCCCUCCGUUCCUAAAUAUAAGUCUUUUUAGAGAUUUCACUAUGGACUACAUACGGAGCAAAAUAAGUGAACCUACACUCUAGAAUAUGUCUAUAUACAUCUGUAUGUAGUUUGUAGUGGAAUCUCUAAAAAGACUUACAUUUAGGAACGGAGCGAGUAGAAGUGGGAAGACACGGCCGGAUCGAAACACAGACACACUAUGCCCACCUUGCUAACAUAGAUGCGAUCGGGCAACAAAACCCACUCCUCUGUGAGAGGGUUGCACACGAUGUAACAGAACUCAUCACCCAGAGCGGAGACAUGCAACAGCGACAGAGGAGGAGGCCAUUGCAGCAGUCCAAUAGAUCGAUGCGCCCGUGGUUGGGAAUAAAGGUGAAAGAGGUGUCGAUCGGAGGGCAGCUUUCCCCAAGACACUGGCGAAGCAAACUUCUAUUUCUAGAGACAAAUCCCCUUUGUCGCUCCUAGUGUAGAAGAAGCUAGCUAGAGUUUGAGGGAGCUUCCUGCGGUUAUCGGGGUUGUCGACGAGGCUGAGCCAGUGCUUGGAGACGCACUUGAAGCGGUACACCGACCUCACAGGGACGCGCGAGAGUAUCUCAACAAGCAGGUCGUCGGAGAGUCCCUCUGCCGUCAUGCCCCCGUGGGGAAGAGAGGAAGAUAUGCACAAACAAAGAGAAGAGGUCAGGCCAGGGGAUCGGUGAAGGAGUUGGCGAUGGUUUAUACUGCUGCUCUGCGUACUGGAUACGACUUGAAACACGUGUUGGUUUUCACCCUCACGAAAGAUCACGUCAAAGUAGCAGAACACACGCGCACGAAAAACUUUGCCAAGGGCACGUGGCGCACCCUUCUUUUUCAUUUACUUCUUCGCAAAUCCACAGGUUCUAUACAUAGAAAACUGCAGCUCUUAUGUACUUUAUAUACACACUUGGGAGCAGGCCCAACGCCACUUGACAAAGGACUUCAUGAUAUACUCGGAUGACAUAACCUAGACGAGAUGAUUAGUGAUUACAACUUGUGCUACCAGGACAGGACACGGCUAAUAGCUAUACUACUCCUAAUUUACUGCUGUAUCAUACUAGUACGCUACUAGGUUUGGUUCAUUUCCAACACUGGACUUACUCCCGCGGGGCGAGAACGAUCCGCCGGCAUGGACAUGGCGGCGGAAGAUGGCGCCAGUGGUGCCGUCGAGCGAGGAGGAAGGGGAUUGAAGCCUACGACUAUGACGGGCUCGGGGCUUCGGUUUUCUUGCUAGCGGGCCGUCAAUGGGUCGUCGAAUGGGCUGAACAAUGAAGCUCUCUCGACAAUUCAUCACUCUGGUCGUCGAAUGGGCUGAACAAUGAUCUAACACAGGUAAAAAAAACCUUCUAAGUUCUCUUGAUAAUUCCAAGAAAAAUUCUUCUUGUCAAUCUCCCUUGUGCCCCAGGAAUAAAAGUCCUGAUCAAAAAUGCAUUAUGCCAUGAGAUGAGCUAUAGCAAUGGGUUUAUGAUGAAACAAGAACAAUUUUAGUUUUCCUUUCCCUCUCGCAAGACGAUUAGGGCAAAACCUUCUUCCCUCGCCUCANNNNNNNNNNNNNNNNNNNNNNNNNNNNNNNNNNNNNNNNNNNNNNNNNNNNNNNNNNNNNNNNNNNNNNNNNNNNNNNNNNNNNNNNNNNNNNNNNNNNNNNNNNNNNNNNNNNNNNNNNNNNNNNNNNNNNNNNNNNNNNNNNNNNNNNNNNNNNNNNNNNNNNNNNNNNNNNNNNNNNNNNNNNNNNNNNNNNNNNNNNNNNNNNNNNNNNNNNNNNNNNNNNNNNNNNNNNNNNNNNNNNNNNNNNNNNNNNNNNNNNNNNNNNNNNNNNNNNNNNNNNNNNNNNNNNNNNNNNNNNNNNNNNNNNGUGGCCUUGGCUCUGGCUAGUAGAUAUGUUAUGGUUUUAGUUCCCGCAGGGCGACGCUCAGACGGAUGGUCGCACUUUUUCUUCCAGUCAGUUUUCCAGGCUUCGGCAUGUCUCAAGUUCGUUUGCUGGGACGGAUUAGGAGUUCCGGCAUAGAAUCCUGCCAGCUCCUCGGGGCAGAGCUUCGAUGAUUAGGGCCGAAGGGGUGCAACCAACAUCAAACCAUGCAAUGGCCCUAGAAAGAGUGCCACCAAACCGCGUGACACUACACUCCCAGCUCCAACAUGACCAUAUGUCCUCUAAGUAAAACCAUCAACCAAACCACUAGAGACACCGGAUUUCAUCCAUGUUUCCCCCUUCGCAUCCACUGCAACCACACAAAUGUAUGACCAAUGGCCAUUGUCUGGUUUGAGACAGAUACACUGGCAUUCUGCCUCCCCCCGCCCCCGAGCGCUCGUCAAUGUCGUGGUACCAACUUAAAUACAUGGAAAUGCAAUGCAAUGAUUCUGCCGGGUUGAAGCCCAAAUCGACAGGUGGCCUAGCCGAAGGCCAGCACCACGACCCAAUUCCUUGUGGCUGGAUUGCAUUCACACAUGAGGCACAUAUUUUGAAUAAUUAGUCUCAGGGAAAUCAGCGACAAUCCCCGCGGAAUGAACCAACAUUGCUCCAAACUUAAAAGCAUGAAGGCAUCAGGGCACUCCAGUCAGAGAGAGGACGAGAUUCAAGCAGGCACACCCUACUAAGCUGCUAAAUUUGCAUAAGAACAUGUAAGAUAGCAGCACCUAGUUUUCCAAAGGUUUUCCAGCUCAAGGCAAUCAAUUUCCAUGAUGACCUUCUCAGCACGAAUGUCCUGGAAGAUUAACAUCAUCCCAGUACGCAAAUGCCACAGCAAUAAGUUGAAUUACCUCUCUUAUUUAACACAUCAGAGUUCUGGACUGGAGUUUAUGUGGACCAUUAUAGUAAGACUGACAUGGGAAGUGCACUGUGGCGACAUCGCUUACUUUAAACUCUUUAAACCUACCUACAUGAACAAAAUCCACAAACACAAAGACGAUGACUUCCUAGUUUUCUGGAGCAGUUUUGUGUUAAAAGUUGUCUACCAACAGGAUGAACGUUAUGAUCCACAAUAUUUCCUAUUUGAUAAACAACAGCAUUGUGGCUGUGAUGUUAUGCUAACAACAUAACCUAUUUGAAUCAGACAAGUUAAUAGCACCAAAAGAAGUGACAAUGUAAUCAGCCAAAGUAUAACAAAUAAGCACAUACAACAGAAAAUACAUUGAACAUUUGAAUAAGCCAUCUGAGAGAAAUCAGCCACAAUGCCCCCAGAACGAAUCACCAUUGCUCCAAACUUACAAGCAUAUAAAACAUCAGAACUUUCAAUCACAGACCAAACCAAAUGCAAGCAGACGUACCAAAUGCGAUGCUCCAUAGGCAAUAUAACACGAAUAAUUGACAUCACUUGUGUAACGAUUGUAACUCUUCAUACAGCGGCACAUAUGGCAGAUAUGGUGGAUUGCCAUUUUCAAGAUUGCAUAUCACUUUGAGUUGCCGACGGUCCAUAUCAUAGAACAUGAACGUUCUAUUCCAGCCCAAGGUGAAGAAGAUCAAGUUACAUUCCGGAUGAAUUGCAAUCCAACAAAAGUCCUCCUCAAUGUCUACAUCAUGUCGCCCUCCAAAUAGAUGUGAACGUUCAAUGCUAUGCUUCAGUAUCCAUUCUUUACUAUUAUAGUCUUCGAGAACAUAAACUAGUAAUCGAACAACAUGAUCAUCAUUGUCAUCUGUUUCAAAACCAGCAUAAUACAAGCAGCCCUGUGACUGCUGCAUAAAACCAUCAUUCAGAGAAGGAACACGAGAGUAUAUCAUUGUUCCCGCCUCCUUGUCGGCAGCUAGACACAGGGUAGAGUGAUUGACAUCAACGAAAAAAUGCAGACUACCAUUAAGAUAUGCAGCUGAGUGAACAAGAACGAGAUCAAUAUCCCAGUACCAUUUCUUCUCCUUAUGAACCCACCUGCCGGUUUCCGAUGAAUAGACAUAUGAACAGACGUCCACUCCCGGGAGACGAAAUCCAUUUAGUUCGUCCGUCAAUAAAAACACAUGGAAGUGGGGGGACACGGCUGGAUCAAAACCUAAGUGCACAAUACCCACCCAGCCGGCAUGGUCGCAAUGCGGCAACUCAGUCCAUUCCUCCGUGGCAGGAUUGCACACGACGUAAUGGCGCUUGCCACCAUGGGCAGAUACGCCGUAGAGAAGGAGGCCAUUGCAGCAGUCCAAAAGAAAGGCGUUCCGGCCGUAGGGCAGGAAGGUGAGAUUGGUGCGACUGCGGUUCCCGGAUAAAUUGGUGAAAUGAAGAACUGGAUGUACCAAUUGCUCCUCCGUGGUGCCCCUGAACAAGAAGCCGGUCAGGGUCCGGGGGAGUUUCCGGCGGUAGGUGCGGUCGUUGAUGAGGCCGAGCCAGUGCUUGGAGACGCACUUGAAGCGGCAAAGCGACCUGGCGGGCACGCGCGAGAGUAUCUCGACUAGGAGGUCGUCGGUGAGUCUCUCGGCCGCCGUCUCGCUGCUGCUGGGAGGAGAAGAGGAUGACCUGCACACAGAGAUGGAGAAGUGGUCUCAGGGGAUCGUGUGAAGAAGGGAGAGGAAGGUCGCAACGAUUCAUGGCGAUGUCUACUCUGCGUACCUGAUCCGAGUUGAUUUGCGUCCGUCCUCCCACUGGCGAGCUCGAUCCACCGGUGUGGACAUGGCGGCGGCAGCGCCGUCAAACGCGGAGCAGGGGUGAUGAAACCUAGGGGGGCGGGGGAGGAGAUUUAAACCUACAGGGACGGGGGAGGCUAAUGGGCCGUCAUUAGUAUAUUGGGCUAAACAGUACAUGUCCCAUUUUCACUAGACCCCUUUAAAAAUCAACCCAAAAAGAACAUAAAAGUAGGAAUCUUUAUUAUAUACACCCUCCGUCCCAAAAUAAGUGACUCAACUUUGCAUUAAUUUUAUAAUAAAUCUUAUACAAAGUUGAGUCACUUAUUUUGGGACGGAGGAAGUACUAAUAAAACGCCCGUGCGUUGCUACGGGUCUAGCACAGGUAAAUAAAUACGUUCUUAGUAUGAAAAGGAAGCAUAAGUAACAUACAAGUUUUGUCAAGAUCAUCUGGGAAAAUCCUCUCUGCUACUGCCAUCAUCGACGAUGAAGCCCCUCUUGCCAACAUUUCGUGGAGUUGGGCAAUGGCAUGGCGUGCAACGCCAGCGUCGAGGAAGCAGCUAAGCGGCAUGGUCAACUAAAGCAGAGCUGCAGUACGAGUGACGUGGUCAUGACGCAUGAGCAGCUAGCCACCAAAGUACAAUCAAUUGGUCGAGAGUCGAGACCGAAGCCGGAUAAACCCAAACGGUGGUGGAAGUCUUCCAUGGUGGGCGGACUCACGACAGCAAUAUUGUGCUAACAUCUCCAUGGGGGACAGCGCGCUCUCCUCUGUAUGAAUCUAGCGAAGGAGAGAAGGAAUAUACACAAAGAGAUUUUUUUUUCUUUUCUUGUGUAUGCAUGUGUUGUUUCAUGUCGGGAGAUUGUAGUUGUGCUGGCCUAAUUAACUAGAUCAUCACCGACCAGCGCCUUCCACAACAUAUGGCUAGUUCUUUUCAGAUUCCUCGGCUGGUUCUAGGUCCGUAUGCGGCCUAAUUUGUGUUUAGGAACACCUUAUCGGAUACAAACAGAGGAAAAUGUUCUUGACCUAUCAUAUUUGGCUAUAUCCUAUACAUGCAUGCCGAAUCUAUCUGGAACUAUAUAUAAUUCAGAGAUAUCUUAGGAACACCAUUACUUAUCUCUGUACUUCAUAUUUGAGCUGGCCCUUAAAUUAAUCUGCAUGUUAGCAAAAUAUCCAACCUAUAGUCACGUUUUGUGCGCAAUAUCCUGUACCUUAAACCAUCGCAAAUCCUUUAUCUUGUGAGCCAGUAUCUUCAUUCUUCAUGGACAAUACAAGCAAUACUUCAACAUUGAAUACUUCACAAUUGGAAAAAAAUAAAUGCGAGGAGGAAAGUUUGCUCUUAUGUGUUGAUAAGUCCACAGAGAAUCUAAGCAAGUUGUUUCAUGUUUGAUGUUUUUUGUCAUAUAGCCAAACAUUAUUAUUUAAUGACGGUUCUCUAGAUUUCAUGUGAAGUGGUGUAUAUUUUUAAUUGUUUCAUAAAACCUUUUAAUUGGAAUGUAUUUUUUUCACUUGCCAACAAUUCCCUAAAAGACUGCUAUAUUAUUCUAGACAGAGAAAUGUGGCUUUGGAUUGAUAGCCGAGGACGAAAUAAAGAAAGGAGAAUUUGUUAUAGAAUAUGUAGGAGAAGGUAUGGGUUUGUUGAAAUCUAUUUUGAGCAAGUAAAUGAAAUGCAGACAAAUGCAAGUAUUAUUAUUUUUUACUCAUAUUGGGCGAUCAAACUAUUGGGGAACGUAGCACAAAUUCAAAAUUUUCCUACGUAUCACCAAGAUCUAUCUAUGGAGAAAGCAGCAACGAGGGGAAGGAGAGUGCAUCUACAUACCCUUGUAGAUCGCGAAGCGGAAGCGUUCAAGAGAACGGGGUUGAUGGAGUCGUACUCGUCGUGAUCCAAAUCACCGAUAAUCCUAGUGCCGAACGGACGGCACCUCCGCGUUCAACACACGUACAGCCCGGUGACGUCUCCCAUGCCUUGAUCCAGCAAGGAGAGAGGGAGAGGUUGAGGAAGACUCCAUCCAGCAGCAACACAACGGCGUGGUGGUGGUUGAGGAGCGUGGCAAUCCUGCAGGGCUUCGCCAAGCACCACGGGAGAGGAGAAGGACUUGGGAGAGGGGAAGGGCUGCACCAAAAGCAAAGGUGUGUGUUGAGAGGCCCUCCUUCCCCACUAUAUAUAGGGAGCCCAAGGGGGGGGGGCGCCGGCCCUAGGAGAUCCAAUCUCCUAGGGGGGCGGCGGCCAAGGGAGGUUUCCCUCCCCCCCAAGGCACCUAGGGGUGCCUUCCCCUUGUGGGACUCUUCCUUUCUUGAAACCCUAGGCGCAUGGGCCUCUUGGGGCUGGUGCCCUUGGCCCAUGUAGGCCAAGGCGCACCCCCUACAGCCCAUGUGCGGCACGUGGCCCCACCCGGUGGACCCCCGGGACCCUUCCGGUGGUCCCGGUACAAUAACGAUGACCCCAAAACUUGUCCCGAUCGCCGAAACAGGAUUUCCUAUAUAUAAAUCUUUACCUCCGGACCAUUCCGGAACUCCUAGUGACGUCCGGGAUCUUAUCCGGGACUCCGAACAACAUUCGGUAACCACAUACAAACUUCCUUUAUAACCCUAGCGUCAUCGAACCUUAAGUGUGUAGACCCUACGGGUUCGGGAGACAUGCAGACAUGACCGAGACGUUCUCCGGUCAAUAACCAACAGCGGGAUCUGGAUACCCAUGUUGGCUCCCACAUGUUCCACGAUGAUCUCAUCGGAUGAACCACGAUGUCAAGGACUUAAUCAAUCCCGUAUACAAUUCCCUUUGUCUAUCGGUACGAUACUUGCCCGAGAUUCGAUCGUCGGUAUCCCGAUACCUUGUUCAAUCUCGUUACCGGCAAGUCUCUUUACUCGUUCGGUAACACAUCAUCCCGUGAUCAACUCCUUGAUCACAUUGUGCACAUUAUGAUGAUGUCCUACCGAGUGGGCCCAGAGAUACCUCUCCGUCACACGGAGUGACAAAUCCCAGUCUCGAUUCGUGCCAACCCAACAGACACUUUUGGAGAUACCCAUAGUGUACCUUUAUAGCCACCCAGUUACGUUGUGACGUUUGGCACACCCAAAGCACUCCUACGGUAUCCGGGAGUUGCACAAUCUCAUGGUCUAAGGAAUGAUACUUGACAUUAGAAAAGCUUUAGCAUACGAACUACACGAUCUAGUGCUAUGCUUAGGAUUGGGUCUUGUCCAUCACAUCAUUCUCCUAAUGAUGUGAUCCCGUUAUCAACGACAUCCAAUGUCCAUGGUCAGGAAACCGUAACCAUCUAUUGAUCAACGAGCUAGUCAACUAGAGGCUUACUAGGGACAUGGUGUUGUCUAUGUAUCCACACAUGUAUCUGAGUUUCCUAUCAAUACAAUUCUAGCAUGGAUAAUAAACGAUUAUCAUGAACAAGGAAAUAUAAUAAUAACCAAUUUAUUAUUGCCUCUAGGGCAUAUUUCCAACAGUCUCCCACUUGCACUAGAGUCAAUAAUCUAGUUCACAUCGCUAUGUGAUUAACACUCAAGGUCACAUCCCCAUGUGACUAACACCCAAAGAGUUUACUAGAGUCAAUAAUCUAGUUCACAUUUACCAUGUGAUUAACACUCGAUGAGUUUUGGGUUUGAUCAUGUUAUGCUUGUGAGAGAGGUUAUAGUCAACGGGUCUGAACCUUUCAGAUCCGUGUGUGCUUUACAAAUCUCUAUGUCAUCUCCUAGAUGCAGCUACCACGCUCUAUUUGGAGCUAUUCCAAAUAACUGUUCUACUAUAUGAAUCCAGUUUACUACUCAGAAUAAUCUGGAUUAGUGUCAAAGUUUGCAUCGGCGUAACCCUUUACGACGAACUCUUUUACCACCUCCAUAAUCGAGAAAAUUCCUUAGUCCACUAGUUACUAAGGAUAACUUUGACCGCUGUCUUGUGAUCCAUUCUUGGAUCACUCUUGUACCCCUUGACUGACUCAUGGCAAGGCACACUUCAGGUGCGGUACACAACAUAGCAUACUGUAGAGCCUACGUCUUAAGCAUAGGGGACGACCUUCGUCCUUUCUAUCUAUUCUGCCGUGGUCAGGUUUCGAGUCUUACUCAAUGUUCACACCUUAUAACACAGCCAAGAACUCCUUCUUGGCCGAUCCAUUUUGAACUCCUUCAAAAUCUUGUCACGGUUUGUAUUCAUUUGAAAGUACUAUUAAGCGUUUUGAUCUAUUCUUAUAGAUCUUAAUGCUCAAUACUCAAGUAGCCUAAUCCAGGUUUUACAUUGAAAAACAUUUUCCAAAUAACCCUAUACGCUUUCCAAAAAUUCUACGUCAUUUCUGAUCAACAAUAUGUCAACAACAUAUAUUCAUCAGAAAUUCUAUAGUGCUCCCACUCACUUCUUUGGAAAUACAAGUUUCUCAUAAACUUUGUAUACACCCAAAAUCUUUGAUCAUCUCAUCAAAGCAUACAUUCCAACUCCGAGAUGCUUACUCCAGUCCUCAGAAGGAUUGCUGGAGCUUUGCAUACUUAUUAGCAUCUUUCAGGAUUGACAAAACCUUCUGGUUGUAUCACAUACAACCUUUCCUCAAGAAAAAUCAUCGAGGAAACAAUGUUUUGACAUCCUAUCUGCAAGAUUUCAUAAAUAAUGCAGUAAUCGCUAACAUAAUUCCAACAGACUCUUAGCAUCGCUACGGGUUAGAAAGUCUCAUCGUAGUCAACUCCUUGAACUUGUCGGGAAACAUCUUAACGACAAGUCGAGCUUUCUUAAUGGUGACAUUUACCAUCAUUGUCCGUCUUCCUUUUAAAUUCCAUCUGCACCCAACAGCCCUACGACCAUCAAGCAGUUCUUCCAAAGUCUACACUUUGUUUUCAUACAUGGAUCCUCUCUCGGAUUUUAUGGCCUCGAGCCAUUUAUCGGAAUCUGGGCCCACCAUCGCUUCUCCAUAGCUCGUAGGUUCAUUGUUGUCUAGCAACAUGACUUCCAAGACAGGAUUACGUACCACUCUGAAGUAGUACGCAUCCUUGUCAUCCCACGAGGUUUGGUAGUGACUUGAUCUGAAGUUUCAUGAUCACUAUCAUAAGCUUCCACUUAAAUUGGUGUAGGUGCCACAGGAACAACUUCCUGUGCCCUUCCACACACUAGUUGAAGAGACGGUUCAAUAACCUCAUCAAGCCUCCACCAUCCUCCCACUCAAUUCUUUCGAGAGAAACUUUUCCUCGAGAAAGGACCCGAUUCUAGAAACAAUCCCUUAUUGCUUUCGGAUCUGAGACAGGAGGUAUACCCAACUGUUUUGGGUGUCCUAUGAAGAUGCAUUUAUCUGCUUUGGGUUCGAGCUUAUCAGCCUGAAACUUUUUUACAUAAGCGUUGCAGCCCCAAACUUUUAAGAAAUGACAGCUUAGGUUUCUCUAAACCAUAGUUCAUAAGGUGUCAUCUCAUCGGAAUUACGUGGUGCCCCAUUUAAAGUGAAUGUGGUUGUCUCUAAUGCCUAACCCAUAAACUAUCGUGGUAAUUCGAUAAGAGACAUCAUGGUAUGCAUCAUAUCCGAUAGGGUGCAGUUAUGAUGUACGGACACACCAUCACACCAUGGUGUUCCUGGCUGUAUUGGUUGUGAAACAACUUCCACAAUGUCUUAAUUCUGUGCCAAACUCGUAAUUCAGAUAUUCAUCUCUAUGAUCAUAUCAUAGACAUUUUAUCCUCUUGUCACAAUGAUCUUUCAACUUCACCCUAAAAUUACUUGAACCUUUCAAUAAUCCAGACUCGUGAUUCAUCAAGUAAAUAUACUCAAUAUCUACUCAAAUCAUCUAUGAAGUAAGAACAUAACGAUAUCCACUACACGCCUCAGCACUCAUUGGAUUGCACACAUCAAAAUGUAUUACUUCCAACAAGUUGCUUUCUAGUUCCAUUUUACUGAAAACGAGGCUUUCAGUCAUCUUGCCCAUGUGGUAUGAUUUGCAUGUCUCAAGUGAUUCAAAAUCAAGUGAGUCCAAACGGUCCAUCUGUAUAGAGUUUCUUCAUGCAUAUCUACCAACAAACAUGGUUCGCAUGUCUCAAUCCUUUCAAAAAUGAGUGAGUCCAAAGAUCCAUCAACAUGGAGCUUCUUCAUGCGUUCUAUACCGAUAUGACUUAAGUGGCAGUGUCACAAGUAGGUGGUACUAUCAUUACUAUCUUGUAUCUUUUGGCAUCAACAUGUGUAUCACUACGAUCGAGAUUCAAUAAACCAUUCAUUUUAGGUGUAAGACCAUUGAAGGUAUUAUUCAAAUAAACAGAGUAAACAUUAUUCUCCUUAAAUGAAUAACCGUAUUGCGAUAGACAUAAUCCAAUCAUGUCUAUGCUCAAUGCAAACACCAAUCUCGAUGGUAGAGGGAGCGGACGAUAUUUGAUCAACCUUGGAAAUACUUCCAACACAUAUCGUCAUCUCACCUUUAGCUAGUCUCUGUUUAUUCCGUAACUUUUAUUUCGAGUUACUAACACUUAGCAACCGAACCGGUAUCUAAUACCCUGGUGCUACUAGGAGUACUAGUAAAGUACACAUCAACACAAUGUAUAUCCAAUAUACUUCUAUCGACCUUGCCAGCCUUCUGAUCUACCAAGUAUCUAGGGUAAUUCUGCUCCAGUGGCUAUUCCCCUUAUUACAGAAGCACUUAGUCUCGGGUUUGGGUUCAACCUUGGGUUUCUUCACUAGAGCAGCAGCUGAAUUGCCAUUUCAUGAAGUAUCCCUUCUUGCCCUUGCCCUUCUUGAAACUAGUGGUUUCACCAACCAUCAACAAUUGAUGCUCCUUCUUGAUUUCUACUUUGGUGUCAAACAUCGCGAAUAUCUCAAGGAUCAUCAUAUAUGUCCCUGAUAUAUUAUAGUUCAUCACGAAGCUCUAGCAGCUUGGUGGCAAUGACUUUGGAGAAACAUCACUAUCUUAUCUGGAAGAUCAACUCCCACUCGAUUCAAAUGAUUGUUGUACUCAGACAAUCUGAGCACAAGCUCAACGAUUGAGCUUUUCUCCCUUAGUUUGUGGGCUAAGAGAAUCAUCGAAGGUCUUAUACCUCUUGACGUGGCCCGAGCCUGAAAUUCCAAUUUCAGCCCUCGAAACAUCUCAUAUGUUUCGUGACGUUUCAAAACCGUCUUCGGUGCCUCAACUCUAAACCGUUUAACUAAACUAUCAUGUAGUUAUCAAAAUGUGUAUGUCAGAUGUUCACAACAUCCACAGACAACGUUCGAGGUUCAGCACACUGAGCGGUGCAUUAAGGACAUAAGCCUUCUAAGAAGCAAUGAGGACAAUCCUCAGUUUAUGGACCUAGUCCUCAUAAUUGCUACUAUCUACUUUCAACUAAAUUUUCUCUAGGAACAUGUCUAAACAGUAGAACUGAAGCGCGAGCUACGACAUAAUUUGCGAAGAUCUUUUGACUAUGUUCAGGAUAAUUAGGUUCAUCUUAUGAACUCCCACUCAGAUAGGCAUCCCUCUAGUCAUCCAAGUGAUUACAUGAUCCGAGUCAACUAGGCCGUGUCCGGUCAUCACAUGAGACGGACUAGUCAACAUCGGUGAACAUCUUCAUGUCGAUCGUAUCUACCAUAUGACUCAUGCUCGACCUUUCGGUCUCUUGUGUUCCGAGGCCAUGUCUGUACAUGCUAGGCUCGUCAAGUCAACCUAAGUGUUUUGCAUGUGUUCCGAGGCCAUGUCUGUACAUGCUAGGCUCGUCAACACCCGUUGUAUUCGAAGUAAGAAUCUAUCACACCCGAUCAUCACGUGGUGCUUCGAAACGACGAACUUUCGCAACGGUGCACAGUUAGGGGGAACACUUUCUUGAAAUUAUCAUGAGGGAUCAUCUUAUUUACUACCGUCGUUCUAAGUAAACAAGAUGUAAAAACAUGAUAAACAUCACAUGCAAUCAAAUAGUGACAUGAUAUGGCCAUCAUCACUUUGCUCCUCUUGAUCUCCAUCUUCGGAGCUCCAUGAUCAUCAUCGUCACCGGCAUGACACCAUGAUCUCCAUCAUCAUGAUCUCCAUCAUCGUGUCUUCAUGAAGUUGUCUCGCCAACUAUUAAUUCUACUACUAUGGCUAACAGUUAGCAAUAAAGUAAAGUAAUUACAUGACGUUUAUGUUGACACACAGGUCAUAAAUAAAUAAAGACAACUCCUAUGGCUCCUGCCGGUUGUCAUACUCAUCGACAUGCAAGUCGUGAUUCCUAUUACAAGAACAUGAUCAUCUCAUACAUCACAUAUAUCAUUCAUCACAUCCUUUGGCCAUAUCACAUCACAUAGCAUACCCUGCAAAAACAAGUUAGACGUCCUCUAAUAGUUGUUUGCAUGUUUUACGUGGCUGCUAUGGGUUUCUAGCAAGAACGUUUCUUACCUACGCAAAAACCACAACGUGAUAUGCCAAUUACUAUUUACCCUUCAUAAGGACCCUUUUCAUCAAAUCCGAUCCGACUAAAGUGGGAGAGACAGACACCCGCUAGCCACCUUAUGCAACUAGUGCAUGUCAGUCGGUGGAACCGGUCUCACGUAAGCGUACGUGUAAGGUUGGUCCGGGCCGCUUCAUCCCACAAUGCCGCCGAAUCAAGAUUGGACUAGUAACGGUAAGCAUAUUGAACAAAAUCAACGCCCACAACUACUUUGUGUUCUACUCGUGCAUAGAAACUAAGCAUAGACCUAGCUCAUGAUGCCACUGUUGGGGAACGUAGCAGAAAUUCAAAAUUUUCCUACGUAUCACCAAGAUCUAUCUAUGGAGAAACCAGCAAUGAGGGGAAGGAGAGUGCAUCUACAUACCCUUGUAGAUCGCUAAGCGGAAGCGUUCAAGAGAACGGGGUUGAUGGAGUCGUACUCGUCGUGAUCCAAAUCACCGAUGAUCCUAGUGCCGAACGGACGGCACCUCCGCGUUCAACACACGUACAGCCCGGUGACGUCUCCCAUGCGUUGAUCCAGCAAGGAGAGAGGGAGAGGUUGAGGAAGACUCCAUCCAGCAGCAGCACAACGGCGUGGUGGUGGUGGAGGAGCGUGGCAAUCCUGCAGGGCUUCGCCAAGCACCACGGGAGAGGAGAAGGACUUGGGAGAGGGGAAGGGCUGCACCAAAAGCAAAGGUGUGUGUUGAGAGGCCCUCCUUCCCCACUAUAUAUAGGGAGCCCAAGGGGGGGGGCGCCGGCCCUAGGAGAUCCAAUCUCCUAGGGGGGGCGGCGGCCAAGGGAGGUUUCCCUCCCCCCCAAGGCACCUAGGGGUGCCUUCCCCUUGUGGGACUCUUCCUUUCUUCAAACCCUAGGCGCAUGGGCCUCUUGGGGCUGGUGCCCUUGGCCCAUGUAGGCCAAGGCGCACCCCCUACAGCCCAUGUGCCCCCCCCGGGGCAGGUGGCCCCACCCGGUGGACCCCCGGGACCCUUCCGGUGGUCCCGGUACAAUGUACCGAUGACCCCGAAACUUGUCCCGAUCGCCGAAACAGGAUUUUCUAUAUAUAAAUCUUUACCUCCGGACCAUUCCGGAACUCCUCGUGACGUCCGGGAUCUCAUCUGGGACUCCGAACAACAUUCGGUAACCACAUACGAACUUCCUUUAUAACCCUAGCAUCAUCGAACCUUAAGUGUGUAGACCCUACGGGUUCGGGAGACAUGCAGACAUGACCGAGACGUUCUCCGGUCAAUAACCAACAGCGGGAUCUGGAUAUCCAUGUUGGCUCCCACAUGUUCCACGAUGAUCUCAUCGGAUGAACCACGAUGUCAAGGACUUAAUCAAUCCUGUAUAUAAUUCCCUUUGUCUAUCGGUACGAUACUUGCCCGAGAUUCGAUCGUCGGUAUCCCGAUACCUUGUUCAAUCUCGUUACCGGCAAGUCUCUUUACUCGUUCCGUAACACAUCAUCCUGUGAUCAACUCCUUGAUCACAUUGUGCACAUUAUGAUGAUGUCCUACCGAGUGGGCCCAGAGAUACCUCUCCGUCACACGGAGUGACAAAUCCCAGUCUCGAUUCGUGCCAACCCAACAGACACUUUUGGAGAUACCCGUAGUGUACCUUUAUAGCCACCCAGUUACGUUGUGACGUUUGGCACACCCAAAGCACUCCUACUGUAUCCGGGAGUUGCACAAUCUCAUGGUCUAAGGAAAUGAUACUUGACAUUAGAAAAGCUUUAGCAUACGAACUACACGAUCUAGUGCUAUGCUUAGGAUUGGGUCUUGUCCAUCACAUCAUUCUCCUAAUGAUGUGAUCCCGUUAUCAAUGACAUCCAAUGUCCAUGGUCAGGAAACUAUAACCAUCUAUUGAUCAACGAGCUAGUCAACUAGAGGCUUACUAGGGACAUGGUGUUGUCUAUGUAUCCACACAUGUAUCUGAGUUUCCUAUCAAUACAAUUCUAGCAUGGAUAAUAAACGAUUAUCAUGAACAAGGAAAUAUAAUAAUAACCAAUUUAUUAUUGCCUCUAGGGCAUAUUUCCAACACAAACUAAUAUCCAUAUAUCUUGCAUCAGUAUUGUAGUUAUUGAUGACAUAACUUGUGAGGAAAGACUAUGGAAAAUGAAGAGACAACGUUACACUAACUUCUAUCUUUGUGAGGUCAGCAGCAAUAUGGUCAUUGAUGCGACAAACAAGGGGAACAAGUCCAGGUUUAUACAAUCUUGGGCUCGGGUGUGCGCUGCUUUGUACAAUCGAAAAAGGAAUGUUCUUUGUACACUGAGCCAUGCGGCUCACCUCUAGGCGAUGGCUCACGCUGGCGCUGUGCUGGUCGCCGACGCCGCCGGCGGAUUCCGGAUCUUGGUUCUCUUGCCUAGUUUCUAUCCAUGCAGAGGAGGUGGUGCAUGCAAUUCAAGAGUCCUCCAUCGAAGCCUCUACUCUGUAGUCUUCGGUUGUUCGUCGGAGGAAGACGGACGAGGAACUGGCGGCUGAGUUCUGGGCGCACAUUGGUUACCCUACACCGGCAUCUAGUUUGUGGGAGAGACCGUCGUCUCGACGGACAGGUGAGGUUUCUCGUGUUUGCAGGUCUGACAAGAUCGCGGUGGCCUCUACGUCGGAUGCUAUUGUGGAUGUGCCAGGAUCGAAGGUGUCACCGAUGAUACUUGCCGCGGCCGCCCGCGGCGUCUCCGGGGUGCCCGUUCGGUCAAGACCGCUGAUCAAGCCUUGGAUCGGCCCGAUCCCGCCUCCUCGGGCAUCGCCGCCAAUAACUCUCGGUGAUAUCUUGCCGCAUGUGUGUCUCGGAGAUGGGGAGGCCUCACCGGAAUUCUGUUUGCCGACGCUUUCUUUGGGUCAGGCAGGGCGGGGCGCUAAAGCGAUCAUAGUUCGAAAUCUUGAUCCGUCAUCUGCGGUUUUUUCAGGUCUGACAUGUUAUCAGACGAAUCCUGGACAUCGGCUCCGGAUGGUCAAUCUCAACCGUUGGCUUCGACACUUGUGGAACCGGGCAGAGCAGGCAGCCAAUCCUAGAUUCAACCAUUCCUUCGUGGCUGUCGUCCACUCCCCAGCAAUGAUGCGCGCCAACCCACCCACGUCGUCGAGCACCUUCACCGGCCACGAGUCUAAUCCAUCUUCAAGCUCCUCUCAACCAAAUGCUUCGCUGUUGGGAGGCGCUCUUGGCUUCGCGCCGGUGGUUUACCAGCCAGUGUAGGUCGCGCAACCCUAUGCGCCGCCGGGAACUUUCGCGCCGGUGCAGCACCCGCCGGUGCAUCCGCAGCCGGUGCAGCAGUCCACUGUGUAUUAGGCGCCGUUCCAGCAGCAGUUUUUUGGGACCUCAGGUCAGUUCGUGCCGCAGCCGCCGUAUCUUCUUCAACCAACGACUGGCUUCACGCAGCAACAUCAGUAGCCUGCAGCUUUUCAACCAGCCAUGAACGCUUAUGUGCAGCAUCAUGGUGCUCCCGCCGGGGUGCAGAUGGCACCCAGCUUCAACGCCAGGCCGCCACACAACUCUGCUACCACCGGAGGCCCUGCUGCUGCACGACCUCGCAAGCCAAAGGGAAGCAAGGGUGGCCGUCAGAAGACGCACCAGGGAGUAGCUCUACCAUUCACCACUCCCCCACCUGUAGUCCCUAUGAUGUCGCCACCAGUGCAGGUGCCUACCAUGGCCCCUUCGUCUAUGAUGGUUGUGGGUCACGGCCAGUACACGCAUAUGCAGCUGGGACCAAUGCAACAGCAGCCUACACCUAUGAUUCAACCUUCAGGGGCAUCCGAUGGUGCAACAAUUCCUGAGAGGGUGUGAUGCUCUAAGUGCCAGUCUGCAGGGCACACAAAUGAUCACUGCGAGACACAACAGUUUUGUUUCAUUUGCAACAAGACUAAUCACCCGAUGACUUUGCGGCGCUGCCCUGCUCUCAAGAUGCCGAAGCCGGUGGCAAUGCUGUGUGGUUAUGGAACUGAAAGUAUGGCCUUUUUUCAGAUGCCCGACAAUGUCUGCAGGGAGGAUCUUGCACCACAAGAUUCACUGACGGUGUUGGUAUCUAUUUCUGGUGGCUCUAUAACUCCCAGUAUCGUGGAGGCAGAGGUUGCUAAGAUUGUUCAGUACCAACUGCAGUGGAUGUGGGAGGACAUACCGCACGACCAGGAUGCUUUUCUCAUGUCCUUUCCGAGUGCGGAAGUUCUAUACAGGGUCACUUGGUUUGUAGUUUUCAUCAAGUCUCACAAUGUCACUAUCGAGUUUAAGCCUUGGAAGCCAGAGGAGAUACCACACCGUUUCGAGCUAUUUGGGUCCAUGUGCAUGGGGUGCCUCACGCUCUCUAACACUUCUUGGGUCUGUGGGCGGUUGGCUCGGUGAUUGGCAAUACUCUUGACGUCGAUCUUCUCUGUUUACGUCGGAGAGGAAUUAUUGUUCGUAUCCAGGUAGCGGCGCUGAACCUUGAUGCUUUCAAAAGUAGCACAAUUGACUCUCUCUCUACCGAUGUCGUGGUUCAAAGAAAAGGUUAUGAGUUCCAGUACAGUCUGGAAAAAUCAGACUUCCAGGUUGAUAGUGACUUUGUGCCUCGAGUCUGGGAGCACGAAGAUAAUCUGGGGGGGCGACAAGGGGCAUGACAGGGAGGAUACAGUAAAGAGCAACAAUCAAACCAAGAGGUCCAAACCCACUUCAUCUCCCAACAACCCUUUGGCCCUUCCUACCACGGGCGGAGUGGUGCCCAUGCAGAUGAUCAGUGUCGUCACACCAUCGAACCUUCAUCGAGGUCUUCCUGCCACGGCUGCUUCUUCGUCAUUAAAGGGGUCUUCUUCGACGACGCCGGAUACUUCGUCUAAGGUUGUCCCUCCGACGACGUCGGCUCCCCUGUCUUUGGCGCCGCCGACUCCAACUCACUGGUCGGCACCGCCCAUCGACGAGGGGAGCCACGCGUGGCCCAUACCUGAGGGGGUGGCACCUACGGGGGUGAUUGCGAGCGCUACAUUGCCGCCACCGUCGCCAGCACCUGCUUUUCCGACUCGUCGGGGAGUGAUCUUCUCCCCGGUCGUUUGAGCUGGCUAGGAGUCGGCCAUGGAGCAACUACGAGCGCUGUCAUCUACUCCUCUAUCACCCAGGGGGGCGUCGGCAUCCGGACUCGAGGAUGUUCAGGAGCAGCCCAUACGAUAUUCUUCUUCUUCGCCACAACAGUCUACUCUGCCUCUCAGGGUCGCCGGGAUGUCUUCUUCAUCGCCGCAGCAGACUACUCUGCCUCUCAGAGGCGCCGGGAUGGGCUCGGCGGCCGAUGUUUCUCCUUCUCCUCUGAGGUGCAAUGGGCGUCAUUACAUCGGGACUGACGGUUCUGCAGCAACCGAUGAGGACUCUAUGGUGAAGGCCAUGCGUAGGACGGCUGUCUGCAACCUCGACUUCGAAGGUACCCCUUGUCGCAAAUCGUUUAUUUCUUUUGAUAAAUCCAAAGUUUCUUCAAAUAUCACUAGACUUGGAGUGUCACUAGGACAUAAUGAGAAAGAGGUAGAUUUUUCGGUUAAGGCUCUUAAACAAGUGGAGUUCGACCGGCUUACGGUUGCUCCUAAAUUGUCGACUUUUGUUGACCCUCUCAUGUCAGAUGAGGUGGAUGAGGAUGUUGAUGCCAAUCACAAAGGCAAGCUUCUCUCUCAUUUAGUUAAAGACACGACUGAAGUAGACCUUGACGAUAUUGUAUGGGACACUACGCUUUGUGAGCUUGUCGCGUCGGUGCGCAAGAACAAGUAUAACACAUCAAAGAAAAGAGGGCGCUCUUCUAAGAAGGCGAAGGUCUCUAAACAAAAAAAAUGGUACAGCAUGAGAGACAUGUUUUGGAAUAGCAGAGGUCUUGGUGACUUGGCUAAACACAAACACAUUGCCGAUUGUGUAAAGGAUCAUGCGUUGGACUUUGUAGCUAUCACUGAGUCGGGCAAACGUGAUUUUCCAACACGUACUCUCGACCACUUUUCAAGUGGUUUGGAUUACGAAUGGCACGUAUUGCCGCCGACCGGGAGGUCCGGUGGAAUAUAACUGUACUUACUUACUUGCAACUAUUGUCCACGUCAAAGGGGGAUUAUCAUAUCAAAUUCGACAUUCGAAACAAGUUCGACAACUUCCUUUGGAGUAUGGUGGCUGUAUAUGGCGCCGCUCAAGAGGAGUUUAAGUCUGCAUUUCUAAAAGAACUUGUUAAUACCUAUCGAGACAAUCCCCACCCCAUGUUAAUUGGGGGGGAUUUUAAUAUCCUUCGAUACCAGCAGGAAAAAAACAAUGACCGGUUAGAUACUAGGUGACCUUUCCUCUUUAAUGCUGUUAUUGACAGCCUGGAUCUGAGGGAGAUCACGAUGUCUUGUCGUUAGUAUACCUGGGCCAAUAACCGAUUAGUGCCAACAUUUGAAAAAAAAAUUGAGUGAGUGCUAGUUACCACCGACUGGGAAUAUAAAUAUCCCCUAGCAUCGGUUCGGGCUCUAGAACGUAUUGAGGCCUUAUCAGAUCACGCUCCUUUGCUAACCAAUUUUGGACAACCAAUCCCAAGUUCUAACCAUCACCAGUUUAAAUUUGAACUGGGAUGGCUCACUAGAGAGGGAUUUCAUGACCUUGUUAAGAAAGUGUGGGCACGUCAACCUCAUGGUAACACACCCAUUCAAUGAUGGAACAAUCGAAUUAGCGCCUUGCGCCGAUUCCUUCGUAGAUGGGCCAAGCAUACUGAUGGCAUUUACAAAAAAGAAAAACUGCGACUAUCUACCUUAAUCGAUCACCUUGAUAAAAUGGCGGAGGUCAGGCUUCUGUCUGCUGUUGAGAUUGAACAAAAAAGCAAUCUAAAUGAGCAGAUUGCCCGCCUAUUACGCAAGGAAGAGAUUAAAUGGUACCAACGUUGCAAGGCGGAUUCGCUUGUGCAAGGUGAUGAUAAUAUGAAGUACUUUCAAAUGCUUGCCAAUGGCAGACAUAGAAAGAAACGCAUAUUCACCCUUGAUCAGGAGGAAGGCUGAAUUGAUCUCCAUCUCCAAAGCAUCGUCAUGAUCUCCAUCUCCAAAGCAUCAUCAUGAUCUCCAUCAUCACCGGCUUGACACCUUGAUCUCCAUCGUCGCGUCGUGGUCGUCUCGCCAACUAUUGCUUCUACAACUACCGCUAACGCAUAGUGAUAACGUAAAGCAAUUAUACGGUGUUUGCAUUUCAUACAAUAAAGAGACAACCAUAAGUGUCGGGGAUAUACCUCGCGGCAUGACCCGGCCGGAGAUAUGAUCCGGCUAGGACACGGUGUUUCAUUGGUGACCCGGCAAAUUAUAAGCCGGUAGAUGUUAAGUCAGAUUAUAAGCCGACAGAUGUUAAGUCAGAUUAUAAGCUGGUAGAUGUUAAGUCAGAUUAUAAGCCGGUAGAUGUUAAGUCAGAUUAUAAGCCGGAGAUGUUAAAUCAGAUUAUAAGCCGGCAGAUGUUAAGACAGAUGGUAUGCUGGUGGACAGAUUAUAAGCUAGAUUAUAAGUCAGAUUGUAAGCCAGAUGGUAAGCCGGCAGACAGCUAUAACCCGGCAGACAGAGUCCCCUGGGGUUAAUAAGCCCGAGACGUUAAGAAGCCCAAGACAUUAAGAAGCCCAUGGAGAGAAGCCCGUGAUGCGUAGUCAAAAUAGUUUAAGUCUUAAUCAGAGUUGGACUCUACAUGUAACCCGCCCCUUCAACUUAUAUAAGGAUGGGCGGGGCACCCCAAGAGGGAGAGGUUGAAUAAUCGUUAAGGCUAGACACAACUAGGAGAGUUGGAGAUACGGCGACUCCCUCGUGAUGAUAAUGAGACCUAGCCACAAACAACAUGUAGGGUUAUUACCGGAUGAUGUUUUUCGGGGCCCGAAGCUGUCUAAACCCUUGUCUUGUGUGUUAAUUCUCUUCACGUCUCUCAUCCCGAUCAACCCCUCUCAGGCUACCAUAUAGAUGCGUUGGCCUCACGACUAAGUCCUCACACUAGGACAUCUGCCAUGACAAUUCCAUGACAGUUGGCACCCACCGUGGGGCUCGCGCAUGGUGGUGUUGAGUUCUUGGAGGGGUCUCUCCCAGGGAUCGAGAAGUUUUGCAAUUUUCCGGAUAAGCCGGUUUGGAAGAGUUUGCAUCAACUUCAAGUUCAUCAGUCCAGAUUUUACAAAUCCAUGAGAUUCAAUUCAAAGAAGAAUUAGGGUUACGAUCUAUUUGCGCCCGCCGUCUUACGGUUUACUCAGUCAUUUUCGAGUUGCCAAAACGGAAAGACUCGUCCGAUUAAACCGAUGCUUCACGUGUGCCUGCUCGUUGGAGAAGGAUUGCUCUUCGGGCCCCGCCUUGAGUCGGCUGUGCUUUGAGCCGCCGCGGCCUCGAGUGCCUUGCUGGUCCUGACCUCCUCCGGCUUGCCCCGCGCAUGGUUAAGCCGCCUGCCGGUUCACCUGCUCCAACAGAUGUGCUGACAAAGUUGUCUGUGCACCAAAUUGAGCUCACUAUUGUCAUCUUCUGUCAAAAAGUCUACCAUCGCAGCAACAAAAAAUAUGUAAGUCCCGAUGAGAUCGGGGCUUGCCUGUAUUACCAAAUAAAAAGGAUACUACCAUGAGGACUCGGGAAGAGUCAACCGAGUAAACUUCUGCCUUGGGCCGCCUCACCUCUACAUCGACUACCGCGUCAUGUUGCCGUCUCGUUGCGGCCUUGCAAGCCGCCUCUUCGGCCACACCUUCGCCUCUGCUAGCCUUUGCGCAUCCCCUCAGCUGGCUCGCUCCUACGGCCGGACGCUGCCGUGCCUCGUCCUCCAAUGACCCGUGCAUGCCCGUGAACCAAGUGUUCAUAGUGCUGUCUGACAUAAAAACAAAAACCUACCGGAUUUCAUAGCUCUUCCAGCAAGCUUUCAACUAGUUCAAUUAUCGCGUAUGCAUGGAUUCCAAGAAAGACUGGAUAUAAAGUAUAAUCAGCUUACACACGGAGCGAAAGAUCUGUUAGAAGAUUGGAAAAAUAGGGCCUAUGAUGAUCUAUUCUGUUACCAUGAUCUGUUUCCUCUGCUAAAGACGGUGGUGGUAAAUCGGUUGUUUCCACUACUGCGGUCACCACAACGCGUUUGAACCGCCCUCACUGCUGUGCUUCUUAGCUGGCACUCUGAGUCGCCGAUGACGCCGAGUCACCGCCCUCCGCGGCUGUAGCCGCACCUCACCGGCUGUCCGCUUCUGACACACGGCCUUGCAGCCGCUGCUCACCUCCAUGGGUGCGGUCCCAAGACGCUGACGCCAGGUCACCAUCACGGCCGAAUUGAACCGGCCACGACUUGGAAGCGGAUGUCUCCGGGCUUGGACUCCUCUUGCGACUCACUUCGUCGAACCACUGCGCCUCCGCUGUCGCCGGUUUGCGCUUCCAACUCGCCGGUGCUGCCUCAUCUUGCUUUUGUCUGCGUCCCUAAGCUGCCAUCGCCAGAUGGGCCUCUGACUGCCGUGCGGCCGCGACUCCGCUGUUCCAACGCCUGACCAACCCACCGCCAGUGGUCUGACCCACUGAAGUGAGCCGCCUGCCGGCUACCGUCGUACUGGCCGCAUCUCAAAUCACAGAUCGCUAGUGGAGCUUGGUGCUCACGUAUCUGCCAACAAAUAUUGACUAUGAAUUGACUAAACUGCACUACGGAAUUCUCAACCUCGGAGUCACUUUGUGUUCCUGUCGACUCGGAGAGAUGUACAAUUUUGCAAACCUCUACCCUCCGAGGAGUCAAAUGAAGAUGUGUUGUUUCCGUAUCGAGUCGCAGUGGACGUGGUUUUGUUCCUGAGCGGUUGAGCCGGCCCCGUUGUCGCUAAUAGCCAUUGUGGUCAGUCACCUCCGCCAUCCGCGGCCGCGGGCUUUGCGCCAGUCUCCUACGACUCGGCUGAGCGCCGGCCUCACCCCUUCCUCGGCGCCAUCCAGCACUCUCAAGCCGCCUGCUGCGGGUAUUCGUCCCCACGGCCGCGGCCUUGCGCCACCGCUACUCCGCUGCCCUGCCGUCGCGAACGCGUGUAGAGCUGCUGCUCCGCAAGCCGCCCUUGCACUGCCCUUGAGCCGCCACUGCCUUCGCAAAACGCCACGACCCCUGGCUGCUUCAAGUCUCCGUCGCUGGCCUCUGCCUUCACAGCCGGCACCUUAACAUGGCCCUGCAGUAGGCGUUUUUGACCCGCCUCUAUGAGUUGCCGCUGUUGCAACCUCACUCCGGCCCUUAUUCUGGGCCGCUCUCGCCGGAGCAGGUGUUGAGCCGCCGCCUCCAUCUUCUAUGACCCACUGAUGUAGCCUGCUGCGGCCAAUUGCAUCCGCUGCGGGCUCGCCAGGGCCCUCUGAGCCGCCGGCGCCUCUUCGUUGUCGCGACCACGCCGCCUUGAGUCACCGUCCUCCUAGCGCCAAAGCCGCUGUCGCUUCACUAAAGCCGCCACUGCGGUGACCCGCCGUCGACGGAACUCGCGGAGAGGAAAGAAACAGGCACCAGCUACUUGUGUGGAGCUGGACUCGAUGGAUAAAGAGAUAGGCCUCAGGCCUCCUAAAAAAUCCAAUGGUCAAAUAUGACCCGAAGGAUCCUUUCUGAGCCGCCCGGUGCCGCGUUUUAAGCCACCACCUCUGUCAUCGUUGCUGUAACCCUACGGCUGAUAAUUCUUGAUAAAACAUAUCAGGUGAAAUCCGUCCUGUCAAAUUUCUAGUGAUACAUUUUUAUUUUUCUUCGAGAACAGUUACUCUCGUUUGUGCAAAUUCUUAUGCAGAAUUCAUAAUUGCAAAGGAGACCAUCAAGCUAUGGCCCUUGCCUACAUCGGAUGAAUCAAUGGACAGUGUCAUUUAUAACCCGUCGAUAUUCAACAUAUUUCCGUAAUCCGCUGUUCAACUAUAUGACGGCUCAUAUCACGGUCAACUAUGGAGAGUCUCAAGCCAACUCCUCGAGUAGUCUUAAGUCUCGGGGGCUACAAUGACAUGACUCGGCGGAAUUGGGCAGUCUCAGUGAAUUCAAGAAGCCCGGGUCAUUGGAGGGAAGAUAACCUGAUCUCAGAGGCUACUGCCAUAUUGAUGAAAAUUUAAAGGCCGUCAUAGCAUUUCCGGCUUGAAAUGAAGGAUUCCAGUUUAAAAUCCGGCUCAAGAGGAAUCUCUCUCCCACAAUGUUAUGAGCUCUCAAUAUCCGGUUCAACACCCGGUUAAAAAAGAAUCCAUCUCUCGCAAGUUCGAGUUCUCAGAAAAGUUAUAGGGACCAAAGAGAGAUUGUUGCACAAAACAACUCAAACAUAGGUACUCGGCGAGCACAGCUCAAAAAUAUAUCACUUGGGGGCUUCCUGCUCAUCGAGCAUAGCUAUGACUACCCUUGUUGAUCCGGCUUAUAUGCCCCGAAUAUAAUGUUACUUGGGGCUCUUUGUUCAACAGACAAGAGUUUUUGCGACCCUUUUGACGGGCUUAAAAGCCAGGCUUGGAUGCCAGGUGUAUUCACCUAAAAACCCGAGUUAUCCUGCCUUUUUAAGUCUGUCACUCUGCCCAGGUAAUUCUGGAACGACCCGCCGUACUUUGACAAGUCAAUCUUAUACAGACCCUGAAUUUGUCAAAAGUUAAAACGACGAUUGGUUACGCGAGGUUCGGCUUAUAAGGUUAGUAUGAAGGUUUAACUCAGUGGCUGUGCAACCCUUGAACGUACUUGAUUUUGUAGGCCUGGCCACCUAUGACAGCCUUGAUUUUUUGACUUUUGAUCCGAACACUUCUUGAUACAUGGUUAAAAACGAAGGAGGGCUAUGCUUUAUGAGUUAUACAUGAAAUUACCCAAUGUUUAUUAACCUAGUCUGGCUUUAAGACUAUAAGUCGCCAGGAUAUAAUGAUUUUAUAUGCUUGGAAGUGCUACGCUCUAAGUUUUGGGAUAUUACCCCUUACUGCAUACGGCGUUGUAAGCCGACGGUAUGAAUCAAUUGAACAGGGCGUUGUGCUCUCAAUCUCUGGGUUGUAACCCUUCCUGCACAGGUAUGAUAAGUCGACAGUGUGAACCAAAUUCAUAGGUAUAUUUUGUACUUGUUAUAUGAAGAUGCGAGGUUUGAUAACCCGCCCUGGUUUUCGACGUUAAGUCGCCAGUAUAUUUUGAAUUGCGCCAUUGGAAACAUGUGCUUAUAAAUCAUUGGAUUAUUACCUUCAGUGGGUAUGGCAAUAUAAGCCAGCUGUAUAAAUCAAUCCUACAGGUAUGUUUUCCUGGUUAUAUGAAUAUGUGAGGUUUGAUAACCCGCCCUGGCUUUUAACUUUAAAGUUGCCAGUAUGUUUAGGCAUGAAUGGCUUUAAUGCUAGUCUUUUCCAUAAUUGCAUAAGACUAUAUUAUGUUUGGCUUGUUACCUGCCCUGGCUUUUGACACUAAGUCGCCAGGGCGUAUGUUGCUUAAACUCUAUGCAGGAUUUGCAGAACUAUGACUUAUAGAAAUGAUUAAGUUCAAGCUCAUCAUCAAAAUUGAUGUUUCAAAAGGGGUAUCCAUUCUGGAUUAUCUCAAAGGCUAAAAGCCGCCGGAUUAUAAAAAUUCCAGCUUACAAUGAAUGCGCAUUAAGUCGCCAUCAGCCAAGAGCCGCCGAGUAUUUAAACUCUGGAUUUACUUGUCAACUUAUAAGGUAUUCAAAUCUUUAAUAUCCAAAUUUGGCUGGAUUGUCAUGAUGAUAUUGAAUGAUUGAGGUUUUCAUACCGGAUUAUAUUAUUCAAAUCUUGAAUAGUCAAGAUGGCUGGAUUUUUAUUAUGGUUAUCAAUAACCAAUAUUAUGAUUGAGGUUUUCAAAGUCGCUUCAGCGCAAUGGCUAUUAUUUUAUCAAUGGAUAUGAUUCAUUCUACAAUGGAAGAAAUAGUCCUGAGUCGCUGCAGGCUUACGACCCAACACUUGGGGGCUACAUUAUUCAAGUUGAGAUUACAUCAAAUAUGCAAGUCCCAUGUCAGUGCCAGCAUGCACCAUGUGUUGGGUAACAUAGUAAUUUCAAAAAAAAUUCCUACGCACACGCAAGAUCAUGGUGAUGCAUAGCAACGAGAGGGGAGAGUGUGAUCUAUGUACCCUUGUAGAUCGACAACGGAAGCGUUAGCACAACGUGGUUGAUGUAGUCGUACGUCUUCACGGCCCGACCGAUCAAUCACCGAAACUACGACACCUCCGAGUUUUAGCACACGUUCAGCUCGAUGACGAUCCCCGGACUCCGAUCCAGCAAAGUGUCGGGGAAGAGUUCCGUCAGCACGACGGCGUGGUGACGAUCUUGAUGUACUACCGUCGCAGGGCUUCGCCUAAGCACCGCUACAAUAUUAUCGAGGACUAUGGUGGAAGGGGGCACCGCACACGGCUAAGAGUAUGAUCACGUGGAUCAACUUGUGUCUCUAGGGGUGCCCCUUGCCUCUGUAUAUAAAGGAUCAAAGGGGGUGUGGCCGGCUAGGAGAGGGCGCGCCAGGAGGAGUCCUACUCCCUCCGGGAGUAGGAUUCCCCCCCUUUCCUAGUUGGAAUAGGAUUCGGGAGGGGGGAAAGAAGAGAGAGAGAAGAAAAAAGGGGGGGGGGCGCCCCCCUCUCCUUGUCCUAUUCGGACUAGGGGGGAGGGGCGCGCGGCCCAGCCCCGGCCACCUCUCCUCUCUUCCACUAAGGCCCACUAAGGCCCAUAUACCUCCCAGGGGGUUCCGGUAACCUCCCGAUACUCUGGUAAAAUUCCGAUUUCACCCGGAACACUUCCGAUAUCCAAAUAUAGGCUUACAAUAUAUCAAUCUUUAUGUCUCGACCAUUUCGAGACUCCUCGUCAUGUCCCCGAUCCUAUCCGGGACUCCGAACUCCUUCGGUACAUCAAAACUCAUAAACUCAUAAUAUAACUAUCAUCGAAACCUUAAGCAUGCGGACCGUACGGGUUCGAGAAUAAUGUAGACAUGACCGAGACACGUCUCCGGUCAAUAACCAAUAGCGGAACCUGGAUGCUCAUAUUGGCUCCUACAUAUUCUACAAAGAUCUUUAUCGGUCAGACCGCAUAACAACAUACGUUGUUCCGUUUGUCAUCGGUAUGUUACUUGCCCGAGAUUCGAUCGUCGGUAUCUUAAUACCUAGUUCAAUCUCGUUACCGACAAGUCUCUUUACUCGUUCCGUAAUACAUCAUCUCACAACUAACUCAUUAGUUGCAAUGCUUGCAAGGCUUAUGUGAUGUGUAUUACCGAGAGGGCCCAGAGAUACCUCUCCGACAAUCGGAGUGACAAAUCCUAAUCUCGAAAUACGCCAACCCAACAUGUACCUUUGGAGACACCUGUAGAAAACCUUUAUAAUCGCCUAGUUACGUUGUGACGUUUGGUAGCACACAAAGUGUUCCUCCGGCAAACGGGAGUUGCAUAAUCUCACAGUCAUAGGAACAUGUAUAAGUCAUGAAGAAAGCAAUAGCAACAUACUUAACGAUCGGGUGCUAAGCUAAUGGAAUGGGUCAUGUCAAUCAGAUCAUUCACCUAGUGAUGUGAUCCCGUUAAUCAAAUAACAACUCUUUGUCCAUGGUUAGGAAACAUAACCAUCUUUGAUUAACGAGCUAGUCUAGUAGAGGCAUACUAGUGACACUCUGUUUGUCUAUGUAUUCGCACAUGUAUUAUGUUUCCGGUUAAUACAAUUCUAGCAUGAAUAAUAAACAUUUAUCAUGAUAUAAGGAAAUAAAUAAUAACUUUAUUAUUGCCUCUAGGGCAUAUUUCCUUCAGUCUCCCACUUGCACUAGACUCAAUAAUCUAGAUUAUAUAGUAAUGAUUCUAACACCCAUGGAGCCUUGGUGCUGAUCAUGUUUUGCUCGUGGAAGAGGCUUAGUCAAUGGGUCUGCUACAUUCAGAUCCGUAUGUAUCUUGCAAAUCUCUAUGUCUCCCACCUGGACUAGAUCCCGGAUGGAAUUGAAGCGUCUCUUGAUGUUCUUGGUUCUCUUAUGAAAUCUGGAUUCCUUUGCCAAGGCAAUUGCACCAGUAUUGUCACAAAAGAUUUUCAUUGGACCCGAUGCACUAGGUAUGACACCUAGAUCGGAUAUGAACUCCUUCAUCCAGACUACUUCAUUUGCUGCUUCUGAAGCAGCUAUGUAUUCUGCUUCACACGUAGAUCCCGCCACGACGCUUUGUUUAGAACUGCACCAACUGACAGCUCCACCGUUUAAUGUAAAUACGUAUCCACUUUGCGAUUUAGAAUCGUCCAGAUCAGUGUCAAAGCUCGCAUCAACGUAACCAUUUACGAUUAGCUCUUUGUCACCUCCAUAAACGAGAAACAUAUCCUUAGUCCUUUUCAGGUAUUUCAGGAUGUUCUUGACCGCUGUCCAGUGAUCCACUCCUGGAUUACUUUGGUACCUCCCUGCUAGACUUAUAGCAAGGCACACAUCAGGUCUGGUACACAGCAUUGCAUACAUGAUAGAGCCUAUGGCUGAAGCAUAGGGAACAUCUUUCAUUUUCUCUCUAUCUUCUGCAGUGGUCGGGCAUUGAGUCUGACUCAACUUCACACCUUGUAACAUAGGCAAGAACCCUUUCUUUGCUUGAUCCAUUUUGAAAUUAUUCAAAACAUUGUCAAGGUAUGUGCUUUGUGAAAGUCCAAUUAAGCGUCUUGAUCUAUCUCUAUAGAUCUUAAUGCCUAAUAUUUAAGCAGCUUCACCGAGGUCUUUCAUUGAAAAACUCUUAUUCAAGUAUCCCUUUAUGCUAUCCAGAAAUUCUAUAUCAUUUCCAGUUAGUAAUAUGUCAUCCACAUAUAAUAUUAGAAAUGCUACAGAGCUCCCACUCACUUUCUUGUAAAUACAUGCUUCUCCAAAAGUCUGUAUAAAACCAAAUGCUUUGAUCACACUAUCAAAGCGUUUAUUCCAACUCCGAGAGGCUUGCACCAGUCCAUAAAUGGAUCGCUGGAUCUUGCACACUUUGUUAGCUCCCUUUGGAUCGACAAAACCUUCUGGUUUCAUCAUAUACAACUCUUCUUCCAGAAAUCCAUUCAGGAAUGCAGUUUUGACAUCCAUCUGCCAAAUUUCAUAAUCAUAAAAUGCGUCAAUUGCUAACAUGAUUCGGACAGACUUAAGCAUCACUACGGGUGAGAAGGUCUCAUCAUAGUCAAUCCCUUGAACUUGCCGAAAACCUUUUGCGACAAGUCGAGCUUUGUAGACAGUAAUAUUACCGUCAGGGUCCGUCUUCUUCUUGAAGAUCCAUUUAUUCUCAAUUGCUUGCUGAUCAUUGGGCAAGUCAACCAAAGUCCAUACUUUGUUCUCAUACAUGGAUCCCAUCUCAGAUUUCAUGGCUUCAAGCCAUUUUGCGGAAUCUGGGCUCACCAUCGCCUCUUCAUAGUUCGUAGGUUCAUCAUGAUCUAGUAGCAUGACUUCCAGAACAGGAUUACCGUACCACUCUGGCGCGGAUCUCACCCUGGUUGAUCUACGAGGUUCAGUAGUAUCUUGUUCUGAAGUUUCAUGAUCAUUAUCAUUAGCUUCCUCACUAAUUGGUGUAGGUGUCACAGAAACAAGUUUCUGUGAUGUACUACUUUCCAAUAAGGGAGUAGGUACAGUUACCUCGUUAAGUUCUACUUUCCUCCCACUCACUUCUUUCGAGAGAAACUCCUUCUCCAGAAAGUUUCCGAAUUUAGCAACACAAGUCUUGCCUUCGGAUCUGUGAUAGAAGGUGUAUCCAAUAGUUUCCUUUGGAUAUCCUAUGAAGACACAUUUUUCCGAUUUGGGUUCGAGCUUAUCAGGUUGAAGCUUUUUCACAUAAGCAUCGCAGCCCCAAACUUUCAGAAACGACAACUUUGGUUUCUUGCCAAACCACAGUUCAUAAGGCGUCGUCUCAACGGAUUUUGAUGGUGCCCUAUUUAACAUGAAUGCGGCCGUCUCUAGAGUGUAUCCCCAAAACGAUAGCGGUAAAUCAGUAAGAGACAUCAUAGAUCGUACCAUAUCUAGUAAAGUACGAUUAUGACGUUCAGACACACCAUUACGCUGUGGUGUUCCGGGUGGCGUGAGUUGCGAAACUAUUCCACAUUGUUUCAAAUGUACACCAAACUCGUAACUCAAAUAUUCUCCUCCACGAUCAGAUCGUAGGAAUUUUAUUUUCUUGUUACCAUGAUUUUCAACUUCACUCUGAAAUUCUUUGAACUUUUCAAACGUUUCAGACUUGUGUUUCAUUAAGUAGAUAUACCCAUAUCUGCUUAAGUCAUCUGUGAAGGUGAGAAAAUAACGAUAUCCGCCACGAGCCUCAACAUUCAUCGGACCACAUACAUCUGUAUGUAUGAUUUCUAACAAAUCUGUUGCUCUCUCCAUAGUACCGGAGAAUGGUGUUUUUGUCAUCUUACCCAUAAGGCACGGUUUGCAAGUACCAAGUGAUUCAUAAUCAAGUGGUUCCAAAAGCCCAUCAGUAUGGAGUUUCUUCAUGCGCUUUAUACCGACAUGACCUAAACGGCAGUGCCACAAAUAAGUUGCACUAUCAUUAUCAACUUUGCAUCUUUUAGUUUCAACACUAUGAAUAUGUGUGUCACUACUAUCGAGAUUUAAUAAGAAUAGACCACUCUUUAAGGGUGCAUGACCAUAAAAGAUAUUACUCAUGUAAAUAGAACAACCAUUAUUCUCUGAUUUAAAUGAAUAACCGUCUCGCAUCAAACAAGAUCCAGAUAUAAUGUUCAUGCUUAACGCUGGCACCAAAUAACAAUUAUUUAGGUCUAAUAUUAAUCCCAAAGGUAGAUGUAGAGGUAGCGUGCCGACUGCGAUCACAUCGACUUUGGAACCAUUUUCCACGCGCAUCGUCACCUCGUCCUUAGCCAAUCUUCGCUUAAUCCGUAGUCCCUGUUUUGAGUUGCAAAUAUUAGCAACAGAACCAGUAUCAAAUACCCAGGUGCUACUGCGAGCAUUAGUAAGGUACACAUCAAUAACAUGUAUAUCACAUAUACCUUUGUUCACCUUGCCAUCCUUCUUAUCCGCCAAAUACUUGAGGCAGUUCCGCUUCCAGUGACCAGUCUGCUUGUAGUAGAAGCACUCAGUUUCAGGCUUAGGUCCAGGUUUGGGUUUCUUCUCUUGAGCAGCAACUUGCUUACUGUUCUUUUUGAAGUUCCCCUUGUUCUUCCCUUUGCCCUUUUUCUUGAAACUAGUGGUCUUGUUGACCAUCAACACUUGAUGCUCCUUCUUGAUUUCUACCUCCGCAGCUUUCAGCAUUGCGAAGAGCUCGGGAAUAGUCUUAUUCAUCCCUUGCAUAUUAUAGUUCAUCACGAAGCUCUUGUAGCUUGGUGGCAGUGAUUGGAGAAUUCUGUUAAUGACGCAAUCAUCUGGAAGAUUAACUCCCAAUUGAAUCAAGUGAUUAUUAUACCCAGACAUUUUGAGUAUAUGCUCACUGACAGAACUGUUCUCCUCCAUCUUGCAGCUAUAGAAUUUAUUGGAGACUUCAUAUCUCUCAAUCUGGGCAUUUGCUUGAAAUAUUAACUUCAACUCCUGGAACAUCUCAUAUGCUCCAUGACGUUCAAAAUCGUCGUUGAAGUCCCGAUUCUAAGCCGUAAAGCAUGGCACACUGAACUAUCGAGUAGUCAUCAGCUUUGCUCUGCCAGACAUUCAUAACAUCUGGUGUUGCUCCAGCAGCAGGCCUGGCACCCAUCGGUGCUUCUAGGACGUAAUUCUUCUGUGCAGCAAUGAGGAUAAUCCUCAAGUUACGGACCCUGUCCAUGUAAUUGCUACCAUCAUCUUUCAACUUUGCUUUCUCAAGGAACGCAUUAAAAUUCAACGGAACAACAGCACGGGCCAUCUAUCUACUAUCAAACAUGAAUAAGCAAGAUACUAUCAGGUACUAAGUUCAUGAUAAAUUUAGGUUCAAUUAAUCAUAUUACUUAAAGAACUCCCACUUAGAUAGACAUCCCUCUAAUCCUCUAAGUGAUUAUGUGAUCCAAAUCAACUAAACCAUGUCCGAUCAUCACGUGAGAUGGAGUAGUUUCAUUGGUGAACAUCACUAUGUUGAUCAUAUCUACUAUAUGAUUCACGCUCGACCUUUCCGUCUCCGUGUUCCGAGGCCAUAUCUGUAUAUGCUUGGCUCGUCAAGUAUAACCUGAGUAUUCCGCGUGUGCAACUGUUUUGCACCCGUUGUGUUUGAACGUAGAGCCUAUCACACCCGAUCAUCACGUGGUGUCUCAGCACGAAGAACUUUCGCAACGGUGCAUACUCAGGGAGAACACUUCUUGAUAAUUAGUGAGAGAUCAUCUUAUAAUGCUACCGUCAAUCAAAGCAAGAUAAGAUGCAUAAAAGAUAAACAUCACAUGCAAUCAAUAUAAGUGAUAUGAUAUGGCCAUCAUCAUCUUGUGCUUGUGAUCUUCAUCUUCGAAGCACCGUCAUGAUCACCAUCAUCACCGGUGCGACACCUUGAUCUCCAUCGUAGCAUCGUUGUCGUCUCGCCAAUCUUAUGCUUCCACGACUAUCGCUACCGCUUAGUGAUAAAGUAAAGCAUUACAGCGCGAUUGCAUAGCAUACAAUAAAGCGACAACCAUAUGGCUCCUGCCAGUUGCCGAUAACUCGGUUACAAAACAUGAUCAUCUCAUACAAUAAAAUUUAGCAUCAUGUCUUGACCAUAUCACAUCACAACAUGCCCUGCAAAAACAAGUUAGACGUCCUCUACUUUGUUGUUGCAAGUUUUACGUGGCUGCUACGGGCUUAAGCAAGAACCAAUCUUACCUACGCAUCAAAACCACAACGAUAGUUUGUCAAGUUGGUGCUGUUUUAACCUUCACAAGGACCGGGCGUAGCCACACUCGGUUCAACUAAAGUUGGAGAAACUGUCACCCGUUAGCCACCUUUGUGCAAAGCACGUCGGGAGAACCGGUCUCGCGUAAGCGUACGCCUAAUGUCGGUCCGGGCCGCUUCGUCCAACAAUACUGCCGAACCAAAGUAUGACAUGCUGGUAAGCAGUAUGACUUAUAUCGCCCACAACUCACUUGUGUUCUACUCAUGCAAAUAACAUCAACACAUAAAACCUAGGCUCGGUUGCCACUGUUGGGUAACGUAGUAAUCUCAAAAAAAAUUCCUACGCAAACGCAAGAUCAUGGUGAUGCAUAGCAACGAGAGGGGAGAGUGUGAUCUACGUACCCUUGUAGAUCGACAAUGGAAGCGUUAGCACAACGUGGUUGAUGUAGUCGUACAUCUUCACGGCCCGACCGAUCAAGCACCGAAACUACGGCACCUCCGAGUUCUUGCACACGUUCAACUCGAUGACGAUCCCCGGACUCCGAUCCAGCAAAGUGUCGGGGAAGAGUUCCGUUAGCAUGACGGCGUGGUGACGAUCUUGAUGUACUACCAUCGCAGGGCUUCGCCUAAGCACCGCUACAAUAUUAUCGAGGACUAUGGUGGAAGGGGGCACCGCACACGGCUAAGAGUAUAAUCAUGUGUAUCAACUUGUGUCUCUAGGGGUGCCCCCUGCCUCCGUAUAUAAAGGAUCAAAGGGGGGGUGUGGCCAGCCAGGAGAGGGCACGCCAGGAGGAGUCCUACUCCCUCCGGGAGUAGGAUUCCCCCCUUUCCUAGUUGGAAUAGGAUUCGGGAGGGGGGAAAGAAGAGAGAGAAGAAAAAGGGGGGGGGGCGUCGCCCCCCUCUCCUUGUCCUAUUCGGACUAUGGGGGAGGGGCACGCGGCCCAGCCCUGGCCACCUCUCCUCUCUUCCACUAAGGCCCACUAAGGCCCAUAUACCUCCCAGGGGGUUCCGGUAACCUCCCGAUACUCCGGUAAAAUCCCGAUUUCACCCGGAACACUUCCAAUAUCCAAAUAUAGGCUUCCAAUAUAUCAAUCUUUAUGUAUCGACCAUUUCGAGACUCCUCGUCAUGUCCCCGAUCCUAUCCGGGACUCCGAACUCCUUCGGUACAUCAAAACUCAUAAACUCAUAAUAUAACUAUCAUCGAAACCUUAAGCGUGCGGACCCUACGGGUUCGAGAAUAAUGUAGACAUGACCGAGACACGUCUCCGGUAAAUAACCAAUAGCGGAACCUGGAUGCUCAUAUUGGCUCCUAUAUAUUCUACGUAGAUCUUUAUUGGUCAGUUCGCAUAACAACAUACGUUGUUCCCUUUGUCAUCGGUAUGUUACUUGCCUGAGAUUCGAUCGUCGGUAUCUUAAUACCUAGUUCAAUCUCGUUACCGGCAAGUCUCUUUACUCGUUCCGUAAUACAUCAUCUCACAACUAACUCAUUAGUUGCAAUGCUUGCAAGGCUUAUGUGAUGUGUAUUACCGAGAGGGCCCAGAGAUACCUCUACGACAAUCGGAGUGACAAAUCCUAAUCUCAAAAUACGCCAACCCAACAUGUACCUUUGGAGACACCUGUAGAGCACCUUUGUAAUCACCCAGUUACGUUGUGACGUUUGGUAGCACAUAAAGUGUUCCUCCGGAAAACGGGAGUUGCAUAAUCUCAUAGUCAUAGGAACAUGUAUAAGUCAUGAAGAAAGCAAUAGCAACAUACUUAACGAUCGGGUGCUAAGCUAAUGGAAUGGGUCAUGUCAAUCAGAUCAUUCACCUAAUGAUGUGAUCCCGUUAAUCAAAUAACAACUCUUUGUCCAUGGUUAGGAAACAUAACCAUCUUUGAUUAACAAGCUAGUCUAGUAGAGGCAUACUAGUGACACUCUGUUUGUCUAUGUAUUCACACAUGUAUUAUGUUUCCGGUUAAUACAAUUCUAGCAUGAAUAAUAAACAUUUAUCAUGAUAUAAGGAAAUAAAUAAUAACUUCAUUAUUGCCUCUAGGGCAUAUUUCCUUCACCAUGGCACCUAGGGGCUAAUGCAAAGUCAUUUUUUGCUCACUUCAUUGAAGACCCGACUCAUCACAUCGUAAUGAGCCGGCCCUUGGGGCUACUAAUUGCUCCUGUCAAAAAUUCAAGGUACACAAGCCUUAAUCCAUUAUGUUGAAGGGUUCAUUGCUCAGUUGGUAGAGUACAAAGCUCUUAACCUUAUGGACGUGGGUUCGAGCCUCAUGGUGGGGGCUACAUCAUAAGAUGUUAUUUUAAAUGAAGUAUAUAUAAAGUCCCAGCUUAGUAUUGUCUUACUGACCCGGCCCUUGGGGGCUACACGUUGCUGCUCAAGUCUACAUGAUCAUAUCUGCAAAGUCCCUGCUCAUUAUUGCAUAAUGACCCGGCCCUUGGGGGCUACACUAGUUGAAGUUUUUAUGAGCAUAAGGUAAUUACAAGUCCCAGGUUGCUGCAAGCAUGACAACUCAGCACUUGGGGGCUACAUAUGUGGAAUAUUCAGUUUUGACUAAUGACUGAGAUGAACAAACUUGGAUUUCUUCAAGGUGGCAACAUUUAUUUUGAAUCAAGUCUUAAGCUAUUACUACGCUCCCUUCUUAAGACUUGGGGCUACAAGUGAUAUGCAUAUAAGGAAGUUCUACAUCUUCAGGCCGGUAGAAAAUCUGAUGAGUAUUUCAAGACCACCAUUUUUUGUUAAGCAUUGGGAGCUGAAUCAAAUGAAUUAUUCUUCACAAUAUUUCUCUGUGAGAAACCACCAUCAGCAAAUUGAGUAUGAAGCUGGCCUAUUGAAGAAGGAAAUGACAAGGAAUUAAGCAUGAUCAUGUACCGGCUUACAAGAAUUCUUAACCCGGAGCACAAUCUGCCAAAUUUGUUCUUGUGUUUGUUUUACAGGAUCAGUUUAACAUGGAUAAAUCCAAAUUAAUCUGGGGGCUAAUGUCGGGGAUACACCUUGCGGCAUGACCCGGCCGGAGAUAUGACCUGGCUCGGACUUGGUGUUUCAUUGGUGACCCGGCAGAUUAUAAGCCGGUAGAUGUUAAGUCAGAUUAUAAGCUGGAAGAUGUUAAGUCAGAUUAUAAGCCUGUAGAUGUUAAGUCAGAUUAUAAGCCGGCAAAUGUUAAGUCAGAUUAUAAGCCGGCAGAUGUUAAGACACAUGGUAAGCCGGCGGACAGAUUAUAAGCCAGAUUAUAAGUCAGAUUGUAAGCCAGAUGGUAAGCCGACAGACAGCUAUAACCAGGCAGACAGAGUCUCCUAGGGUUAAUAAGCCCGAGACAUUAAGAAGCCCAAGACGUUAAGAAGCCCAUGGAGAGAAGCCCAUGAUGCGUAGUCAGAAUAGUUUAAGUCUUAAUCUGAGUUGGACUCUACAUGUAACCCGCCCCUUCAACUUAUAUAAGGAGGGGCGGGGCACCCCAAGAGGGACAGGUUGAAUAAUUGUUAAGGCUAGACACAACUAGGACAGCCGGAGAUACAUCGACUCCCUCAUGAUGAUAAUGAGACCUAGCCACAAACGACAUGUAGGGUUAUUACCGGAUGAUGUUUCCCAGGGCCCGAAGCUAUCUAAACCCUUGUCUUGUGUGUUAAUUCUCUUCACGUCUCUCAUGCCGAUCAACCCCUCUCAAGCUACCACAUAGAUGUGUUGGCUUCACGACUAAGUCGUCACACUAGGACAUCUGCCGUGACAAUUCCACGACAAUAAGGCUCCUGCCGGUUGCCGAUGACUUUUACAAAACAUGAUCAUCUCAUACAAUAACGUAUAUCACAUCAUGUCUUGACUACAUCACAUCACAACAUGCCCUGCAAAAAAUUUAGGCGUCCUCUACUUUGUUGUUGCAAAUUUUAUGUGGCUGCUACGGGCUUCUAGCAAGAACUGUUCUUACCUACACAUAAAACCACAACGGUGUUUUAACCUUCUUCAAGGACCAGCUGCGGUCAAAAUCGAUUCAACUAAAGUAGGAGAAACAGACACCCGCCAGCCACCUUUAUGCAAAACUAGUUGCAUGUCUGUUGGUGGAACCGGUCUCAUGUGCGUGGACAAGUAAGGUUAGUCCGGGCCGCUUCAUCCCACAAUAUCGCCGAAUCAAAAUAAGACGUUGGUGGUAAGUAGUAUGACUAUCACCGCCUACAAAUCUUUGUGUUCUACUCGUGCAUAUUAUUUACUCAUAGACCUGGCUCAUGAUGCCAUUGUUGGGAAACAUUGCAUGGACAACAUUUUUUUUCUACGCACACGCAAUUAUCUAUCCAUCGAGAUGCAUAGCAACGAGGGGGAGAGUGUGUCUAUGUACCCUCAUAGAACGUAAGCGGAAGCAUUUCUCAACACAAUUGAUGUAGUCGGACUUCUUUGCAUUUCAACCGAUCAAGUACCGAACGCACGACACCUCCGCGUUCUGCACACGUUCAGCUCGGUGACGUCCCUCGCCUUCUUGAUCCAGCAAGACGACGAGGUAGUAAAUGAGUUCCAUCAGCCCGACGGCGUGGUGACCGUGAUGGUGAAGUGAUCCUCGCAGGGCUUCGCCUAAGCACUACGAAAAUAUGACCGUGGGUGUAAAUGGUGGAGGGUGGUGCCCACAUGGCUAGGCAAUUGUGUUGUGUGUGCUAGGAGCGCCCCCACAUAUAUAUAGGUGGGAGGGGGAGGGGAGAGGACAGGAUGUGCCCCAAGUAGGACCAAAUCCUACUUGGGUUCCCCCUUGGCCGUGCCCCCCUGAGGUAGUCCUGGACUAAGGGGUCCUCGGGCGUCCGGCCUGUUAUCUAUGGGCUGGACUGAUGGGCUGUGAAGACAUGAAGGCCAAAGACUGCACUGUGUCCGGAUUGGACUCUACUUGGCGUGGAAGGGAAGCUUGGCGAUCGAAGAUUGCUUCUUAUGUAACCGACUCCAUGUAAACCUUAGAUCCCCUCGGUGUCUAUAUAAACCGAAGGGGACAGUCCGGAAAGGACAACACAUACAUUCAUCACCAUACCCACAUAGGCUAGACUUAUAGGGUUUAGCCAUUGUGACAAUCAUAUUCAUCAAUAUCAAUCAAGCAGGACGUAGGGUUUUACCUCCGUAGAGAGGGCCCGAACCUGCGUAAACAUUUUGUCCUCUGUCUCAUGUUACCAUCGAUCCUAGACGCAUAGUUCGGGACCCCCUACCCGAGAUCCGCCGGUUUUGACACCGACAUUGGUGCUUUCAUUGAGAGUUCCACUGUGCCGUCGAUAGAAGGCUUGAUGGCUCCUUCGAUCAUCAGUAACGACAUCGUCUAGGGAAAAACCUUCCUCCCCGGACAGAUCUUCGUAUUCGGUGGUUUCGCACUGCGGGCCAACUCGUUUGUCCAUCUGGAGAAGAUCGAAAGCUACGCCCCUGGCCAUCAGGUCAGAUUCGAAAGCUUGAAUUACGUCGCGAACAUCCGGGGAGAUUUGAUCUUUGACGGAUUCGAGACCGCAGCAUCCGCUCCCCGUUACCUUGAUGAACAUGGCUUAAACCUGUCACCGGGCCGCAUCCAGGAGAUAGCUCCUGUAGAAGCUCUGGCCUUAAAUCAGGAGCAGAUCAAGUCACCCGAAGAUGGGAAGCUCGACCCCAUCACGGGGCUACCGAUUCAGCAGUGCUGGAGCCGCACGCAGAUCCCACUUCACACGGUAUCCGCAUCACCGGAAACUUGGACUCGCCUCUGACGCCGAACUCCAAACCCCGCGAACCCACGUAUACGGAACUCAAUCGGUUGUCAAUCUUGAAGUUCAGUGCCGCAGAUGUAUUCCAACACUCGCCCAUGGGUGACAUGCUAAACUCGCUAAAAACCCUAUCCCUGGCAGACGACCCGUCGCCGAACUAUGUUCGGUUUGAACUUUCGGUGGACGAUGGAGAAUUUUGUUUCCCACCCGCCACCCACUUCGUAGCCACUGUUGAAAACCCAACCAACACAUCCGACCCCAGCUCCGAAGACAUUGACUGUGUGGACGACGAUGAGGGGCAGGGCCAGAUCUUACUUCCCGCGCGACACAGGACAACCACUUCCUGGUAUGACGUGUGCAUGUUAGACACACCUUACGACACUCUCGACGAUGAUAAGGAGCAUCCAAUCGAGAAUAAACCGCCUGGUUCACAGCCCGAACACCGGCACCCUAGGUCACAUCGCCCAAGAGAAAACACUACCAGCACCAGAGAAGACGACACUUCGGACAAUAAAGACCCUCUUAAGGUAGAAUCCAAGUAGGAUGAACAGGAAGGUGGGCAAGACAGCUCUGAUGAACAGAACACAUAUGGGGACUCGGAGGACAGCAAUUAUCUCCCACCCUCCGAGGAAGAGGAGACCUUUGGCAACAAGGAUUUACCAUGCCCAAGGAACCUCUAGAGCAGGAGCGCUUUAAACGCCGGCUUAUAGCCACUGCAAGGGGCCUACAAAAGAAGCACCUGCAGCUUCAAGCAAGCCAAGAUUAUCUCAAUGAUAGAUGGACCGAAGUCUUGGCCGCCGAAGAAUACGACCUUAGCACCCCAGUCAAAAGCCACCCCAAGAAUAGGUGGCUCCCUCAACACGAGGGCAGGGUGAUGGAACCCAUAACACCAUCGAACAAUGCGGCAGGCCGACCACAAUGCAGCCCAGACAAAGCAGCAGCCCAGGCAGAGCACCACACCAACCCAUCCGGCCAUCAAAACAAAACCGCUCGGGGGAACACCAACAAUAUCAACCAAGACACGGAGGGUAGAGCAAGAUGCACAAGAUCGAUGUACAUAUCACAAAGAUAUACCCCGACCGACGACGGUGGUCGCCUAUCCGGACACUACGGAGCUGACCACGCCCGGUCCGAGCAUCGUAAACGGAGCCCGCCGGAGGUACUUCAUAGUGUGGCCCAAGAUAGAGGAGUCGCACACCCCCUCUGCUUCACGGACGAAGUAAUGGAACACGCAUUUCUAGACUGGUUUAAACCCAUUAACAUCGAAUUAUACGAUGGGACAACAGACCCCGCGGUAUGGAUCGAGGAUUACCUCCUCCAUAUUCACAUGGCCUGCGGAGACGACCUCCACGCCAUUAAAUACCUACCUCUCAAGCUUAAAGGGCCAGCUCGGUACUGGCUAAACAGUUUGCCAGAAAAUUCUAUUGGCAACUGGGAGGAUUUGGAAGAUGCCUUUCGAGACAACUUCUAGGGAACAUAUGUCCGGCCAUUAUGUGCCAAUGACUUAAGUCACAUUGUCCAGGAGCCCGACGAGUCAGGUAGGGAGCUAGACCAGGUUCUUAGUCAAAAAGAACCAAAUUGUCGAUUGUCCGGACGCAGAAGCCCUCGCGGCCUUCAAACAUAGCGUCCGGGAUGAAUGGCUCGCACGUCACCUCGGCCAGGAAGGACCCAAAUCCAUGACAGCCCUCACCGCUCUAAUGAACCGCAUCUGCGCGGGAGAACACAACUAGCUUAGUCGUAAAAGCAACAACGCCAGCGGCCCGGGCACUUCCAAUAUCUGAGAUGGCAACGGCAAGCCACGACGAACCAAACAUAACAACAUACACGACACAACAGUGAAUGCCAGAUUUCACAAUCCGAAGCCUGGUCAACGGAAGAAUCAACUAAAGGCAAACCAGGAUGGACCAUCCACCCUUGACAGGAUAUUGGACCGACCUUGUCAGAUUCACGGUCUCCCUAAUAGGCCAGCUAAUUAUACCAACCGUAAUUGUUGGGUAUCCAAGCAGGCAGGCAAGCUUAACGCUGAUCAUAAGGGGAGGAGGCCAUCGGGUCACAAAGAAGACGGAUCGGCUCGCGAGCAGAACACCAGGGGUCAGAAAAAGUUCCCCUCCGAUGUUCGACCACUCCCGUAAUGCAAAUAGCGGUGCGUCUUCCGCCACCCACCUACUAUACUGGCGAAAUUCACACCACGCGCACAUCACUACACACUCAAGAUACCUUGGGCAUCGACAGAAGCACAAUUCAGACAGCCCUACAAGAAUUCCCGUAACGUUUUUAUAUGCUUUUCUCAUUUUUUCUGUAUCAUCUUUAAAGAACAGGUGACCAACUGGACAACAUCUCAGUGGACUCUAUCGGAGUUCGGAUCCACACACUCACCUAAGGGGUUACAUCCGUUAAGGACCCCCUCCCCAAGGAUGGGCUACGCAGACGUGCGACAGGAGGUCCAAAAUUACUUUUUGUAGACCGCACUCUUUAUUCCGAGCCUAUACUAUGCUACUUUUCCUCUCAUUCCGACCAUGAGCAUGCCAGACAGCCGGGUCUGUGGUUUCUCUCUUUAUAUAUAUAUUACACACACACACACACACACAAAUCUAUCAUUGGCACAUCGCUCCGUUCUCAGUAAGCCUCACCUGAACCGAUCUCCCAUAUCCUUUCAACAAUAAAAGUACGACCGUAACGGCUGCUUUGCAGAUGCACCUCGGCACACCCUGCCAGGGGCUCGGCAUGGGAACGAAUGAGUUGCCAGUAAAAGACCGAACAACUCUAUAGCAUACUUCGGCGUCGCAAGUUUGGCCUUAUAUGCAUUAGCUCUGAAUCAUUGUCUUGGGUCAAUAGUUGGGUUGCCCGGCUCCUGUGUUUGUUACCUUAUGUUCCGCUCUAUCGGCUAGGGUAGUAAAUGGAGAACUACUACGAUUGUGCCCUGGCCUAGACCGGAUGAGCACCUCAGUAGAGAAAGCCGAAAACUGACUGUCAUGAUGCGGCGAGAGCUGGUCAACCACUUGAUGACUUAUUGGAAUCUUUAGUGAUUCUCCGUGCAAUACGAGGGAUCUUUUUCAGAUCAGAUAUGCAAGGCACCACAUGCCGCAUACACACCAGGGGCUAUGUUGUAACCCCACCAUAAAACUCCUAUGGUUAAGUGAAAGUCUUAACGCCUUAUAUUCCGAUUGCCUGGUUCGCCGCAUUAUCAGCUCCUUCAUGGACCAAGACAUUGGAUAAAGAGUGAUUAAAUGCUUUUCCGAACACCCCCGUACUUCCUACGAGGGGGCUGAAGCCGACGACUGGAAAACUUUCAGAUUAUAUUAAAACGACCACACAGGAGGAAUUCAAGCUUUUCAAGCAAAACAUAAAUAGAUUAACUAUAAAGUUGUCUUUUACAAUCAUCAUACAACUCACUUGAACAUUAUGUUCUUCAAACAUUGACCCUCAAUCGAGCGGGCGGCCUCCAGGAUGUCUUCAAAAUAAUGCUUUGGUUUCGGACAGUCCUCGCCUUUGGGCGGACCCUUCGUUGCGACAUCGAUGGCCUUCAUCUUCCCCUAGAAUGUCCUUACUCAGGCAAGGUCCAUCCGUGCACCGUCAAUGCACACCGAUCGCUUCACAGUAUCGAUUCGCGGCACUGCAUCGACAAGCUUCUGCACCAAACCGAAAGAGCUAUUCGGCACAGGCUCGGUCGGCCAUAGCCAGACUAUGACAUCCUUCAUGGCAGCGCCAGAUACCCUAUGAAGUUCGGCCCAUUGGGACAUCUGUUCAUUAAGCAGCAGCGGGCGUUUUGACACACCAAACUGUGACCAAAAAAGGUUCUCCGUUGCAUAUCCAUCUUGCGCUUGGUAAUACCGCGCCGCAUCGGAAGAACUCUUCGGCAAGUCAAAAUACUCGUUCGGAGAACUCCACACUUGGUUCAGCUGAACAUAGUCCAGGUCACCGAACUUAGUCUGCAGCAGAAAAGGCUUUCCAGCCAAUAUCUCUUUCGCCCGCUGAACCUCCUCACGGAGUGCUCUGGAUUCUGAUCACGCUUCGCUUGCCUCCUGUUGGGCCUUGUCCAGUUCAGCCGUUAAGGCUUUAUUCUCCUUCUCAAGAAAUUCACAGCGGCCAGUAGCAUCCUCCAAAGCGAGUGUCAUCGUGGAUAUAUUCUCCUCGCCCUGGCAUCGCGCAACUUGUUCGGCCUGCAGUUCAACCGAUGCUCCUUCAGUAGCAGCAUCACUAAGUUGGGCCCGCUCCUUGGCCCGGAUUAGCUCCGACCGAAGAGCCUCCACGGCGGCAGCACCAUCUGCAUUUUAUGCACAUCUCAUAUAAAGCUCUUUCCCAUGUCAAGCACACUGAUGUAAAGAAUGCUCGAAAUACAUACCUUGCGAGUCGUCAAGACGCUUGUUGAUCAACGCAAUGUCAUCCUCCGCAAUAUCCAGCUUUCGCUGCAGUUCGGCCACUUCCAUAUUCUGGGUAGCCGCAGGAGGGGAAGCAACCUAUAUUUCAAAUUAAACUGAGGUUAAUACCUGAGCAUAUCUCUUUGAUCCUCCGAUCGCUCCCUUAGGAAGACAAUCUGAGUCUCAGGGGCUAAUGCAUAUGCAACAGGUGCAUUCUGUCAAUGAAAUUCAAUUGACAAAGCUACAUCACAAACCUCAAAACCUCUUAGAAGGUUCGUGAAGGCCUCGCUCAGUCCACUCUUUGCAGAUAGAACCCUUUCGACCACCGUAAUCAUCAAGGAACGGUGCUCUUCUGAAAUAGACGCUCAUCGUAGCAUGUCCGUCCGCAUUUCUUGCGCUCUUGGGUCUUCAAACCACCGCCGGAGUACGGCAUUCCAGUGAAGGAACCCGCUUGCUUGCCUCCAGAACCGUCUCCGGCUAUAAACCGGGCGGUUCGGGGACGCCGGUCUCGAUCCCGGAACCUCGGGUGAUGGAGGAACCACCUUCGGGUGCCCUUCGGGAUGAUACCUCGGUAUCAUCUCCUCUGUUGGGCGACGGGGCUGGAGGAGGCGUGUCACUCUCCAUCAUCUCUAGAAGAAGAUCUCCCGAGGAGGAGGACGAUUGAGAAGCACCAGGCGUUAACCUGCAUGGACAAACAUAUAUCGGAUGAUUACUUCAUUAAAAAAGAACGAGGUGCGCUUAAAGUACCCCAGCCUCGCUUACGGUCCGCCUCGAGGUUCGUCCUCAUCAUCAAACUCUACGGUAGCCCUGCUCGCCUGGCCCAAGCUGCUCGACGACGGUGUUUUUCCUCUCUUGGAAGGCUUCCCCUCCUGAUCUUAGGAGGCGACCCUCUUCUUUCCCUGGAAGGCUCCCUCCACACUCUUGCCCUUGGGCAGAAGGACUUCGGUUUCCUCGGACGCAGCCACCUGGUACGGUGUUGGAAUCAACAUUCUCAUCAGCAGGUCGGUCGCAGGGCCUUCGGGAAGAGGCGCCGGACACCAGAUUAGCACCGCCUUCUUUAUCCAGUCCUGGGCAGGGACGGGUUGUUCAAUAUCUCAUUAAAAGAUGCUCGAAUGAAAGGUGCUCGAGUACUUACCGAAGUAGCCGGACGAUUGCAGUCAAGGCCAACAUCUUUGGUAGUGUCCAGCCAUUGCCCUCGUUCCCCAAAAUACAAUUUCCACAUACCUUCGUGCGUAGUGACGAAGAAGUGUUGUAGGGUCCACCGUCCUUCUUGGUUAAACUCCCACAUAUGAAGAGGCCGCCGCUGACACGAAAGGAUCCGGCGGACUAGCAUUAUUUGAACGACUCUCACAAUAUCGAUGCCCUUCUCUGUAAGGCAUCGGAUGCGGCUUUGCAGAGUCUGCACUUCGUUGAUGGAUCCCCAGUCGAAUCAGUUAUUGACCCAUGAAGCAAGCUGAAUUGGAGGACCGGGGCGGAACACAGGUGUAGCCGCCCACUUGGAGCUCCGCAGCUCGUUGAUAUAAAACCACCCCUGUUGCCAUAAGUCGGGAGAUUCAGCGAAAGAUCCUUCAGGCCAAUCCGCACCGGCCAGCUUGCCUAUUAUGAUGCUGCUGCACUCUGCCUGCUCCCCCUCUGUCACCUGCGGCCUCACACCAAAGGUCUUGUGACACAAACCAAAGUGCCGAGGAGUCCACAGGAAGGCCUCACACAUGAUGAUAAAAUGUCGAGAUGAGGAGAAUAGAGUUCAGGGCCAGAUCAUGAAAAUCCAGUCCAUAGUAGAACGUUAGCCCCCAGACGAAGGGGUUAAGCGCGAACCCUAGCCCAUGAAGGAAGUGGGAUACAAAUACUACCCUCUCGCCAAAUCUGGGAGUCGGUAUUACUUGUCCUUGUGCUGGGAGCUGAUGAAAGAUUUCCGAAGUCAGAUACCUCGCUGCGUGGAGCUUCGCAAUAUCCUCCUCUGUGACAGAAGAAGCCACCCACUGGCCCUGAUGGUUGGAUCCGGACAUGACUGGGGCUGGUGGCGAUUGGAACCCGAAGGUUGGAACUUGGGGUGGCUGGGGUUGAGGAAGAUGCAAGCGCAAAGGAAGAAAACGAGAUUGUGUCUCUAUAUAAAGGCCCCAAGUAUUGGGCAUCUCCCCCAGGGUCUCUAAGCUUACCUAUUACCAAGGAGUUGUACCCAGGGGAUGGUUCGGUUACCCACGCCUACGUUAAUGAAAAUCCCAUAAAUAAAGGAACACGAUCUCUGCCUUGACAAGGCGUUCCAGUAAAACCGCACCCCAAGACAUGGGGCGGCUCGCUAGCCGACGGUUGGAAAUAGCAACCGGGCAGGCAUGAUAUGAUGUCAUGAACAGUUAUCAAUAGGUUAGGCUCAUGGGGUAAUAUAUUCUCUGCCAUUAUAUACACAGGUCCGGAUAUGCUUACUUCGUCCGAAGACUAUUCUGGAGUUCGGAAGGAGGGAACUCGCCUUGCAAUGCCGAAGACGAAUCUGUGCGUCGGACUCCUCGUCAUUGAAGCCAGGUUCAGGGGCUACUGAGGGAGUCCUGGACUAAGGGGUCCUCGGCCGUCCGGCCUGUUAUCUAUGGGCUGGAUUGAUGGGCUGUGAAGACAUUUAGGACGAAGACUGCACCGUGUCCGGAUUGGACUCUACUUGGCGUGGAAGGCAAGCUUGGCGACCGAAGAUUUCUUCUUAUGUAACCGACUCCAUGUAAACCCUAGAUCCCCUCGGUGUCUAUAUAAACCAAAGGGGACAGUCCGGAAAGGACAACACAUACAUUCAUCACCAUACCCACAUAGGCUAGACUUCUAGGGUUUAGCCAUUACGAUCUCGUGGUAGAUCCACUCUUGUAACACUCAUAUUCAUCAAUAUCAAUCAAGCAGGACGUAGGGUUUUACCUCCGUAGAGAGGGCCCGAACCUGGGUAAACAUUGCGUCCCCUGUCUCCUGUUACCAUCGAUCCUAGAUGCACAGUUCGGGACUCCCUACCCGAGAUCCGCCUGUUUUGACACCGACACCCCCUUUCCAUAUUAGCCGGAGGGGGAAGGAAAGAGGAGGGGGAGAAAGGGAAUGGGGAGGCCGAAUCCCACCCUUUCCUUUCUCUUACCCUCUUUCCUUCUCCCCCUGGUUCGACCCAUAUGGGCAACGCACCAGCCCCUGGUGACUGUUGCGUUUCCCCUUUUGGCCCAUAAGGCCCAUAUCUUUUGUCGGGGGUGCUCGGAACCCCUUUCUGUGACCCGAUAUGUACCCGAUACCCUCUAGACAGUUCGGGUGUCCGAAUACCAUCGUCCUAUAUAUCAAUCUUUACCUCUCAAGCAUUUCGAGACUCAUCGUCAUGUCCGUGAUCUGAUACGGGACUCCGAACAACAAUCAGUCACCAAAUCACAUAACUCAUAUAAUACUAUAUCGUCAUCGAACGUUAAGCAUGCGGACCCUACGGGUUUGAGAACUAUGUAGACAUGAUCGAGACACCUCUCUGGUCAAUAACCAAUAGUAGAACCUGGAUGCCCAUAUUGCCUUCUACAUAUUCUACGAAGAUCUUUAUCGGUCGAACCGUUAUGACAACAUACAUAAUUAACUUUGUCUAUUGGUAUGUUACUUGCCUGAGAUUCAAUCCUCGGUAUCUUUAUACCUAGUUCAAUCUCGUUACCGGCAAGUCUCUUUACACUUUCCGUAAUACAUCACCUUGUGACUAACUCCUUAGUCAUUUGAUUGCAAGCUUAUGAUGUGUAUUACUGAGAGAGCCCAGAGAUACCUCUCCGAUACUCAGAGUGACAAAUCCUAAUCUCGAUCUAUGUCAACUCAACAAACACCUUCGGAGAUACCUGUAGAGCAUCUUUAUAAUCACCUAGUUACAUUGUGAUGUUUGAUAGCACACAAGGCAUUCCUUAGGUAUUCGGGAGUUGCAUAAUCUCAUAGUCGAAGGAAUAUGUAUUUGACAUGAAGAAAGCAAUAGCAGAACGAUCAAAAUGCUAAGCUAAUAGGUGGGUCUUGUCAAUCACAUCAUUCUCCUAAUGAUGUGAUCCCGUUAUCAAAUGACAAUUCAUGUCCAUGGUUAGGAAACCUUAAUCAUCUUUGAUCAACGAGCUAGUCAAGUAGAGGCUCACUAGGGACACGGUGUUUGUUUAUAUCUUCACACAUGUAUUUAGGUUUCUGGUCAAUACAAUUAUAGCAUGAAUAAUAAACCUUUAUCAUGAAAAAUGAAAUAUAAAAUAGCAACUUUAUUAUUGCCUUUAGGGCAUAUUUCCUUCAUGUUGAUCAUCAGUGGUUAGAAGUUGUAUUACAUUAUUUUAGUCAUGUAUGCUUAAUGCCUUGUAUGACCAGACCAAGGAAAAGCUCAUUUGAAAUCUAAUGGAAAGGACAAAUAAAAUUGAAAACUUAUUUGUUGUUUCCAAAAAAUUAGAAAAGAGGAAAAUUAUGAAAAUAGCACAAACAUAACAUAGUACCACGAACAAAACAUAGUACCACAAACAUCAAUAUAGUUGAUUGAUACGUCUCCAAUGUAUCUAUAAUUUUUGAUUGUUCCAUGCUAUUAUAUUAUUCAUCUAGGAUGUUUUAUAUGCAUUUAUGUGCUAUUUUAUAUGAUUUUUGGGACUAACCUAUUAACCUAGAGCCCAGUGCCAGUUUCUAUUUUUCCUUGUUUUUGAGUAUCGCAGAAAAGGAAAACCAAGCGGACUCCAAUUGACCUAAAAUUUCACGGAGAUUAUUUUUGGACCACAAAAAGCCCACGGAGUAUCGGAGAUGGGCCAGAAGAAUCCCAAGGCACCCAGGAGGGUGGGGGCGUGCCCCCUACCUCGUGGCCGCCUCAGGGACCCCCUGACUUGUUCCCGACGCCAACACCUCUUAUAUAUACCGAAACUUCCAGAACAUAACCUAGAUCGGGAGUUCCGCCGCCGCAAGCCUCUGUAGCCACUGAAAACCAAUCUAGACCCAUUACGGCACCCUGCCGGAGGGGGGAAUCCCUCUCCGGUGGGCAUCUUCAUCAUCCCGACGUUCUCCAUGACGAGGAGGGAGUAGUUCACCCUCGGGGUUGAGGGUAUGUACCAGUAGCUAUGUGUUUGAUCUCUCUCUCUCGUGUUCUUGAUUUGGCACGAUCUUGAUGUAUCAUGAGCUUUGCUAUUAUAGUUGGAUCUUAUGAUGUUUCUCCCCCUCUACUCUCUUGUAAUGGAUUGAGUUUUCCCUUUGAAGUUAUCUUAUCAGAUUGAGUGUUUAAGGAUUUGAGAACACUUGAUGUAUGUCUUGCAUGUGCUUAUCUCUAGUGACAAUGGGAUAUCAUGUGCUCCACUUGAUGUAUGUUUUGGUGAUCAACUUGCGAGUUCCAUGACCUCGUGAACUUAUGCAUAGGGUUGGCACAUGUUUUCGUCUUGACUCUCCAUUAGAAACUUUGGGGCACUCUUUGAAGUUCUUUGUGUUGGUUGAAUAGAUGAAUCUGAGACUGUGUGAUGCAUAUCGUAUAAUCAUACCAACGGAUACUUUAGGUGACAUUGGAGUAUCCAGGUGACAUUAGGGUUUUGGUUGAUUUGUGUCUUAAGUUGUCAUUCUAGUGCGAACUCUAGAAUAGAUUGAAAAGAAAGAAUAGCUUCAUGUUAUUUUACUACGGACUCUUGAAUGGAUCAAUCAGAAAGGAUAACUUUGAGGUGGUUUUGUACCCUACAAUAAUCUCUUCGUUUGUUUUCCGCUAUUAGUGACUUUGGAGUGACUGUUUGUUGCAUGUUGAGGGAUUGUUAUAUGAUCCAAUUAUGUUGUUAUUGUUGAGAGAACUUGCACUAGUGAAAGUAUGAACCCUAGGCCUUGUUUCCUAGCAUUGCAAUAUCGUUUACGCUCACCUUUACAACUUUCUACCUUGCUGUUUUUAUAUUUUCAGAUUACAAAAACCUAUAUCUACCAUCCAUAUUGCACUUUUAUCACCAUCUCUUCGCCGAACUAGUGCACCUAUACAAUUUACCAUUGUAUUGGGUGUGUUGGGGACACAAGAGACUCUUUGUUAUUUGGUUGCAGGGUUGCUUGAGAGAGACCAUCUUCAUCCUACGCCUCCCAUGGAUUGAUAAACCUUAGGUCAUCCACUUGAGGAAAAUUUGCUACUGUCCUACAAACCUCUACACUUGGAGGCCCAACAACGUCUACAAGAAGAAGGUUGUGUAUUAGACAUCAAGCUCUUUUCUGGCGCCGUUGCCGGGGAGGUUAGCGCUUGAAGGUAUAUAUUUAGAUCUUGCAACCGAAUCUUUUAGUUUAUUGUUUUAUCACUAGUUUAGUCUAUAAAAGAAAACUACAAAAAAAUGGAAUUAAGGUUGCCUCAUAUGCUUCAUCUUUUUAACGUCUUUCGUGAAAGUAAGGAUUACGAUAAUUGUGCCAAAGUGUUAGAAGAAGAAUUUAUUAAAAUGUUUGGCACUAAAUGUUUGGAUGAUGAGCAUGAUUGCAAUGUUUUUAGUAUGAAUGCUUUGAAUAUCCAUGAUGCUAAUGAUAUGCAAAGCCACAAGCUUGGGGAUGCUAUGUUUGAUGAAGAUGAUAUUUUUUGUCCCCCAAGUUUUGAUGAGCAAAUUUAUUAUGAUGAAAGCAUCCCUCCUAUCCAUGAUGAUUAUUAUGAUGACACAUAUGCUAUAAAGAAUAAUGAUAUCCAUGAAACUUGUCAUCAUGAUUUUAACUUUCAAUUGGAUUAUGCCUCAGAUGAUAGUUAUUUUGUUGAGUUUGCUCCCACUACUAUUCAUGAGAAGAAAUUUGCUUAUGUGGAGAAUAGUAAAUUUUCUAUCUUGUAGAUCAUGAAAAUAAUGUUUUAUGUGAUGGUUAUAUUGUUGAAUUCAUUCAUGAUGCUAAUGAAAUUUAUUAUGAGGGAGGAAUAUAUGCUUGUAGGAAUUGCAAUAAUAUCAAGUUUCCUCUCUAUGUGCUUAAAGUUUUAAAGUUAUGCUUGUUUUGCCUUCCUAUGCUCGUUGAUUAUUGUUCCCAUAAGUUGUUUGCUCACAAAACCCCUAUGCAUAGGAAGUGGGUUAGACAUAAAUGUGCUAUUCAUAUUCUUCAUGAUGCUCUCUUUAUGUUUCAAUUCUUAUCUUUUAUGUGAGCAUCAUUGAAAUCGUCAUGCCUAGCUAGGGGCGUUAAACGAUAGCGCUUGUUGGGAGGCAACCCAACUUUAUUUUUUUCCUUUAUUUUUUGUUCCUAUUUAGUAAUAAAUAAUUCAUCUAGCCUCUGUUAUGAUUGUGUUUUUUAUGUUUUAAUUAGUGUUUGUGCCAAGUAAAGCCUUCAGGAUCUUCUUGGGUGAUUAUUGUUUGACCUUGCUGAUAAAAACAGAAAGUAUGCGCUCACGAAAAUAAUUUUCAUUUUUUAAAAGAGAGCGACAAAAUACCAAUUCCAACUGAAGUAGAACAAUAUACAAAUUUCCUAGGACUUCCUAAUUUCUCAGGAUUUAUGGAGUUACAGAAGUAUUCGAAACCUCCAGAUUACUACAGACUGUUCUGUUUUUGACAGAUUCUGUUUUCUAUGUGUUGUUUGCUUAUUUUGAUGAAUCUAUGAGUAGUACCGGAGGGUAUGAACCAUAGAGAAGUUGUAAUACAGUAGAUAUUAAACCAAUAUGAAUUUAGAAUGAGUUCACAACAGCACCUAAGUGGUGAUUUAUUUUCUUAUACUAACGGAGUUUACGAGUUUUCUGUUAAGUUUUGUGUUGUGAAGUUUUCAAGUUUUCUGUUAGAGAGUCUUCACAUAGUUACAUAAUUAUUCGACUACUCAUUGAUCCUCACUUAUAUCUUUCGGAGUAGUUUGUCAUUUGCUCUAGUGCUUCACUUCUAUCUAUUAGAGAACGACGAUGGUUUUAUUUUAUUGAAAUUAUUGAUCUCUCAUGCUUCACUUAUAUUAUUUUGAGAGUCUUUUAGAACAGCAUGGUAAUUUGCUUUGGUUAUGAAACUAGUCCAUGAUGGGCAUCCAAGAGGGAUAUAAUAAAAACUUUCAUAUAAAGUGCAUUGAAUACUAUGAGAAGUUUUAUACUUGAUGAUUAUUUUGAGAUAUAAAGAUGGUGAUAUUAGAGUCGUGCCAGUUGAGUAAUUGUGAAAUUGAGAAAUACUUGUGUUGAGGUUUGGAAGUCCCGUAGCAUGCACGUAUGGUAACCGUUGUGUGACAAAUUUGAAGCAUGAGGUGUUUUUUGAUUGCCUUCCUUAUGAGUGGCGGUCGGGGACGAGCGAUGGUAUUUUCCUACCAAUCUAUCCCUCUAGGAGCAUGCACGUAAUGCUUGGUUUUUGAUGACUUGUAGAUUUUUGCAAUAAGUAUGUGAGUUUUUUAUGAGUAAUGUUGAGUCCAUGGAUUAUUCGCACUCUCACCUUCCCAUCAUUGCUAGCCUCUUUGGUACCGUGCAUUGCCCUUUCUCACCUUGAGAGUUGGUGCAAACUUCGCCGGUGCAUCCAACCCCCGUGAUAUGGUACGCUCUAUCACACAUAAACCUCCUUAUAUCUUCCUCAAAACAGCCACCAUACCUACCUAUUAUGGCAUUUCCAUAGCCAUUCCGAGAUAUAUUGCCAUGCAAGUUUCCACCGUUACGUUUAUUAUGACACACUUCAUCAUUGUCAUAUUGCCUUACAUGAUCAUGUAGUUGACAUCGUAUUCAUGGCAAAGCCACCAUGCAUAAUUUCAUACAUGUCACUCUUGAUUCAUUGCUCAUCCCGGUACACCGCCGGAGGCAUUCAUAUAGAGUCAUACUUUGUUCUAGUAUCGAGUUGUAAUCUUUGAGUUGUAAAUAAAUAUAAGUGUGAUGAUCAUCAUUAAUAGAGCAUUCUCCCAAAAAAGAAAAAAAAUAAAGGCCAAAAAAAGAGAAAGGCCAAAUAAUAAAAAUAAAUAAUAAAAUAAAAGGGACAAUGCUACUAUCCUUUUUUCCACACUUGUGCUUCUAAGUAGCACCAUGAUCUUCAUGAUAGAGAGUCUCUUAUAUUGUCACUUUCAUAUACUAGUGGGAAUUUUUCAUUAUAGAACUUGGCUUGUAUAUUCCAACAAUGGGCUUCCUCAAAUGCCCUAGGUCUUCGUGAGCAAGCAAGUUGGAUGAACACCCACUUAGUUUCUUUUGUUGAGCUUUCGUACAUUUUAUAGCUCUAGUGCAUCCGUUGCAUGGGAAUCCCUACUCCUCGCAUUGACAUCAAUUGAUGGGCAUCUCCAUAGCCCGUUGAUUAGCCGCAUCAAUGUGAGACUUUCUCCUUUUGUCUUCUCCACACAACCCCCAUCAUUAUAUUCUAUUCCACCCAUAGUGCUAUGUCCAUGGCUCACGCUCAUGUAUUGCAUGAAAGUUGAAUUUUUUUUGAGAUUACUAAAGGAUGAAACAAUUGCUUGGCUUGUCAUCAGGGUUGUGCAUGAUGAGAGCAUUUCUGUGUGACGAAAAUGGAGCAUAGACAAACUAUAUGAUUUUGUAGGGAUAAGCUUUCUUUGGCCAUGUUAUUUUGAGAAGACAUAAUUGCUUAGUUAGUAUGCUUGAAGUAUUAUUGUUUUUAUGUCAAUAUUAAACUUUUGUCUUGAAUCUUAUGGAUCUAAUAUUCUUGCCACAAUAAAGAAGAUUACAUUGAUGAAUAUGUUAGGUAGCAUUCCACAUCAAAAAUUCUGUCUUUAUCAUUUACCUACUCGAGGACGAACAUAAAUUAAGCUUGGGGAUGCUUGAUACGUCUCCAACGUAUCUAUAAUUUUUGAUUGUUCCAUGCUAUUAUAUUAUCCAUCUAAUAUGUUUUAUAUGCAUUUAUAUGCUAUUUUAUAUGAUUUUUGGGACUAACCUAUUAACCUAGAGCCUAGUGCCAGUUUCUGUUUUUUCCUUGUCUUUGAGUAUGGCACAAAAGGAAAACCAAACGGAGUCUAAUUGACCUGAAAUUUCACGGAGAUUAUUUUUGGACCAGAAGAAGCCCACAGAGUAUCAGAGAUGGUCCAGAAGAGUUCCGAGGCACCAACGAGGGUGGGGGGGCGCACCCUACCCCCCUGACUUGUUCCCGACGCCAACACCUCUUAUAUACACCCAAACUUCCAGAACAUAACCUAGAUCGAGAAUUCCACCGCCGCAAGCCUCUGUAGCCACCGAAAACCAAUCUAGACCCGUUCCGGGACCCUGCCGGAGGGGGGAAUCCCUCUCCGGUGGCCAUCUUCAUCAUCCCGGCGCUCUCCAUGAUGAGGAGGGAGUAGUUCACCCUUGGGGCUGAGGGUAUGUAGCAGUAGCUAUGUGUUUGAUCUCUCUCUCUCUCUCUCGUGUUCUUGAUUUGGCACGAUCUUGAUGUAUCAUGAGCUUUGCUAUUAUAGUUGGAUCUUAUGAUGUUUCUCCCCCUCUACUCUCUUGUAAUGGAUUGAGUUUUCCCUUUGAAGUUAUCUUAUCGGAUUGAGUGUUUAAGGAUUUGAGAACACUUGAUGUAUGUCUUGCAUGUGCUUAUCUAUGGCGACAAUGGGAUAUCAUGUGAUCCACUUGAUGUAUGUUUUGGUGAUCAACUUGCGAGUUCCGUGAGCUCGUGAACUUAUGCAUAGGUUUGGCACACGUUUUCGUCUUGACUCUCCAUUAGAAACUUUGGGGCACUCUUUGAAGUUCUUUGUGUUGGUUGAAUAGAUGAAUCCGAGACUGUGUGAUGCAUAUCAUAUAAUCAUACCAACGGAUACUUGAGGUGACAUUAGGGUUUUGGUUGAUUUGUAUCUUAAGGUGUUAUUCUAGUGUGAACUCUAGAAUAGAUUGAACGGAAAGAAUAGCUUCAUGUUAUUUUACUACGGACUCUUGAAUAGAUCGAUCAGAAAGGAUAACUUUGAGGUGGUUUCGUACCCUACAAUAAUCUCUUCGUUUGUUUUCCGCUAUUAGUGACUUUGGAGUGACUCUUUGUUGCAUGUUGAGGGAUUGUUAUAUGAUCCAAUUAUGUUAUUAUUGUUGAGAGAACUUGCACUAGUGAAAGUAUGAACCCUAGGCCUUGUUUCCUAGCAUUGCAAUACUGUUUACGCUCACUUUUACCACUUGAUACCUUUCUAUUUUAAUAUUUUCAUACAUCAUUGAUCUAACAUAACAUAGAAUAAUCUCAUACUCCCUCUGUUCGAAAAAACUUGACUCUCAAUUGAAUGUAUCUAGCACCAAAUUAGUGCUAGAUACAUCUAUUUGAGGGACAAGCUUGUAACACGCUUUUUCGGACGAAGGGAGUACAUAGGUACCCUAGGAUAGGCUUACUACCUAUAACACUAACACAACAUGAUAGAUUAAUUAGGUGGCGCGACCGGCCCAACACCAGCUCGCUGCUCCAUUUUAAUAAACUGCUUUCUAUAUUGUAGAACAGUACCCAUUUUAAUAAACUGCAAUUUCACAAAUACUAGGCACUGAUAUAAUAAUAUCAUUAAGCACAAUACCAAAUUUAAUAUGACCACAGUCUCACAAACAUUAUAGGUACUCAUACAUAGUCAACAUGCAUCAAUAGAUCUCAUAUGGUGAACUAAUAAUAGUUCAUAAGCAGUCUACUAGGUAGUCAUAUAGUAGCAUACAUAUGGUUCAGCAGCCACACACAUAUAUAGUUCUAGAUGAUAUCGAUGACGAUCAUCAUCCUCAAGCCUUGGCGGUGGGUGUUCCUAAUAGUAAUUAGGAUGGCAUGGCCUGUCAAACAUAUGAAGAUUCUUGCCAACGAGGAAGCUCUUCCACCCAACCGAGCUUAAGUGUGUGCGACCAUCCGUGUCCA
rnacentral:lncRNA from 1 species